rnacentral:lncRNA from 1 species
CGUAGGCAUAGGAGAAUGAAACUUCUGUACAUUUUAAUCUGAAUAAUUCUUCAGGAUUUAAAAUUAAUUGGCUCUGGCUUGGUUGGGCUGUACUCGGAUCUCGCCGCCUCUGCAUUUCCCGAGUCACUGGUGAAGAGGUGAUGAUUUUUUUUUUUUUUGAACUGGGUUUAUGUGCGUCCCCCUCACCCCCUCCUCUCUCUCUCUCUCUUUUUUUCUUUCUCUGUCUCUGUCGUCUCUCUCGCUGCCUUUUUAAAAAUGAGGAACCAUUCUCUGAACGUUUUGGACAGAGCACAGAAUUGCUUCUUAAGUCUGCCCAGCGCGGUUGCAAUAGACAGCAAAAAGGUAAACGUUUGCCUGAAAUCCGCACGUCAGCUCCACCACCCCGCCCGAUGGUGAGUACCCUUCUCCUUGCGAUUCUCCUCUUAGCUUAACCGAGCGCUCGCCUUCCCGAACCGCGGCCGAGGGCGAUCCGCAGGGUUUUCCUCCCUCCUUCCCUGCCUGCCUGGCUGUCAGUAGCACAAGGUUGCAAAAUGAAGCGCAGAAGCAAAUCGAACAGUAAAUUCUGAUACUUGGUGCGAGCCUAGCAGCUCCUUUGAUAGAAAACCGAGUCGUCUGCUGCUUGGAAAACCAGGCUCAUAGGACCGGUUUUCAGUUUGCUCUAUAGAAAGAAAUGAGUUUGAGAAGACAGGACAAGGAGAUGGAAGGCACCGCAGUCUUUAUGCUUUGGUUUAAUCAUAUUUUGGCAGCUUUGCGAUUGUAUUUUCCCCCUCUCCUCCUUCCAUCACUUCUACCACACACAUGUAAUAAAAUAUGGCAAUGCACUGAAUUGACUCUGUUCCCCCUUCCCCAAACCCCUUAAACCACAGUCCUAGGCAUUUCACACACAUUAGCAAACCGAUUUUCUGAAAAGCCCCAAGUCAUCCCCAACCCCACACAGCACAAGGAGAAAAGACAGAAAGAGGAAAAAAAUACUGUAAGUAAACAUACCAAAACCAUAUUUGCCUUGUUCAAGGUCCCAAACCGCUUGCAUCUUCCUUCUAAACUGGAAUAACUCUCCUUUAGUUUGGCGGGUGAAAUAAACGCUUUGUUGGCCCUCUGAAAAGAUGUGUCUUUGAUAAUUAAAGAGAAUCUCCUCCUCGGUGUUUAUCUAAGCGAUUGUGCAAACUGAUAAAAAGUAGGCACUAGCCUGCAGGGAAAAAGAGGAAAGGUGAAGGGAGAGAUCUUCCACCUCAAGGAAGUGCUUCCCCAUGUAUUAGGCGCUCCCAGCCUUGGAAAACCCUGCACACUAACUUUAGAGAGACAAGGUUUCAGGGAGCUUUGUACAUAACUGCUGAGGAAUGCAAGCCUCGCCUUUAAGAAAAAAACCCCCAAACCGUAGGUAGGAGAUGUCUGGAGUGAUCCUUGUCUCUCAUCUCAUUCCUUAGAAGGAAGAGUGCGUUGUUACACCUUGUUUGGGGCUGGAAAGACGAGACUUUAAAAACACCCGUCCAAUUGAAAAAAAUCUCCCAACUUAAUGAGUUUAGUCGGAGGCUGGAGCAAAUGGCUCAGUCUUAGCAGAAAACCGCCAACAACUCUAGGCGAUAUUGCAAAGCAAGACGACCGGAGGCACAGCCAAAAUUCCACUGUUUGGGGUCGAGAGGGAUGGAGGCUAAUCCUAAAGCAAGUUGGGAAAAAAAUAGAGGUGGGAGAGGAGGGGGAAAAAGCAGCAGCCUCGGAGACUGGCAGACAGGCUCCUCUCACCCUGGAUCAAAGAUAGAACUUGAAACAGGAGGGCAAUAUUUUCCUAGGAAUCUGCUGGAAUCCUCAUUUUCUACUUCUAACUCAAGUCCCCCCAAGUGAUUUUUCCCUCUCCCCUGUGGAUCAGUGCCUCCCUCCCCUUUCUGGUGCCCAUUCUAGAACUUUCCUGAAGAGGAAAUGAUUUCUUUUUGGGGGGAGGGGUUCCCCAUUUCAUGCCUUAGUAUAAUGAAUGCUUAAUUCACCCCUCCCUUCAUCACUCCCCAAGAUGAAUAAAGGAAGCAGGAAUACAAUAACUAGCAAAAAUUUAGGAUAAACUAUGCUGCCUCUUGCUGUUUAAUACAGUUUUAACUAAUGGAUUUUUUGUUUUGUUUUGUUUUAAGAGAAGAAUAAUGGGGAAACACGGAUCUUUUAUUUUAGGAAACUGUUAUGGUAAGAUGUAUGUCAGACUUGACAAAUGGAACUAACGCUCUUGGGCUGCUUCUUGUCCUUGUCUUAAACAGGAAUUAAGUUAAACACAGUGCUGAAUGUUAAUUACAUGUUUACUGGCUAAUGAAAAUUACAAAUGGUUUUGCCACCUCAAACAAUGAUGAAAACUCUGAAGACACUGUAAUUAUAUACUUUGAGGGAAAUAACUCAGAAUAUUGAUCAUAAGAAGUGUAAAUCUUUUUAAAACUAUUCAUUAAUACCAUAAAUAUGGGCUACAGAAGUUUUUUCCUUGCGGUUUGUCUCAUCAGUUAUACUGAGUGGAUGGAUGGUAAGGUUCCUCUGGGGAGGUGGUGAACUCGUUCUCUUACUAGAAGGAGGCCACUUGUGUAACUCAGGGGUGCCCCCUCCCUUUCGUCCUGCCCCCUUCAACCCUAGUUGAAGGUCGCAGGAUCUUUGAAACUGAGGCCCGGCCCAGGGCAGGUGAAGGUGAUCACAGUCGGGCCUCUUCCCUCUCCUGCACUCUUCUUUCUUCUCCCCUCUCCCCCCUCCUUUUUUUUGCCAGGUCUGAUCGAUGACUGCCUUCCCCAGCCUGGGUGCCUGUGGGAUAAUCUGGCAUUCCGGUUUCCUAAUGGAAGAACAAUUAGACCAGGCAACUCACCACAACCUAGAGAUGCAUCCCUGACAACUUAAAGUUCUCUCCUUCAGAGGUGGUUAGGUCAGGUCACUGCAAAUGAAGAAGAAGGAAAAAAAAAUGGGUAUGGAGGUGGCUAUUGGGUAAGGUAGGUCAGGCUGCUGAAGCAGAACUGGUUUCCCUGGGUUUAGGAGUGAUAUUUUUUGUUGUCAUUUUGCUUUAACUUUGGCCAGAGUUGUAGCACUGGUGGCCACUCUAGUCUUGGUGGGGGGGUCAAAGGUGAAGCCUGCACUAACCCUAAAAGGCUGGCAGGGCUGGUCAGAAGGCCAAGCCGGUUGGGGAAUCAAGAUUGUUAGCCUGACUAGCUCUUCAGAGGGGGUGUCUGUGAAACUAGCAUGCAGGGAGCACAGCACAGAGUCCAGGUUUAAAGUGGAAUAUUGAAGAAUUUUUAAAUAGAGCCCUAGGCUUAUGGGACUGGAGUCUUCUUUUCCCCUGAGAAUUCCCAAGGCACUGGUCUUUGUCUUAGAAGGAAUGGAGUUUCUGAAUGGUGUGAAAGGGACAGAGAGGGUCGCUUCAAAUCGAUUUUACUUGUCCUUUCUGUCUUUUCGGAUCAACGCCCUUCAAUGGACACAGAGGUGCUCUUUCAACCAAAAACUUGUGCUACAUUUUCUGCCUGUAUUGGUGCUAAAUACAAUAAGCACUGGGCAGAUUUUUUUCUUUGCUCUCCAAAGCAGGAAAGCACCCUAAUUAAAUUGUUUUAUAUGGACAGUCAAGACCGACCAAUUAAGUAUGCAUUAGUAUGAAGAUAUAGUCUACAGAUAAGGCGGUUUAGAAAACCAUGUGUAGGACAAAGAAGAGGGCGCUAGUGCUUGGGAGGGGUGUGUGGACACAGCAAGGUCGAGCCCCUUCCUUUUGGGCCCCAGGGGAAUUGCAAAGGUCCAGGUUCCAGGUGAGGGGGGCAGGCCGGCUAACAGGUGGGCACCAGUGCCUCCACUCCAGGAACUGUGGAGCAUGAGGGGUUUGUCUUCUUCACAUACUACUUUGGUAAGGUAUCAGCACUCCGAGAGUAGAGGUGGUGGGUCCUCUUGGACACGGUGAGACCUUGCGGUACCCCACUCCAGGUCUGGCCCAUUUCCUGGUGUCCCAGGUCCAGGGUGUGGCUCGGGAAUAAUGACUAGGGCCAAGGAAACAUUGGCACUGCCAUAGCCAUGCAGCAACCCUUUGGCAGCCAAGAUCGGGAAGGAGGUCCCCUCUCAAUACCUCCAAGCUGAGGGUUUCUUUCCUUCUAAGGAAAGUGAAGUAUUUCAGACAGGAAAGUAAAGUUUCCAACCGACGCCACGCGGCCCGAGGGGCGUCGAGGACCAGACGAUGGAGUUGGGGAAAGGUCUCGCGAAAGGGUAGCGAAAAAAGGGGCUCCUGUUCAGCAAAUGUUGCUGUGGGUUUCUCCACUUGCUCUCGGCUCUCUGAGGGGUGGGCGGGCCGAGAGCGUCUUUCCGCGAAGAAGCCGACUCUGGUAGCAGAGGCUGGGGCCUCUCUGCUUCGCGGGGCAGGGCUGUGUUAGGUGGUCCCCAAGCCGCAAGGGCGCGAACGCGGCGCACUGCUUUAGGAAAGGUUCGCAGGGCGCUCAGCGCCCUUGAUAGCGGGAAGAGAGGGGAGGGGGCGAGAAUUAGAGUCUGGGGAAGUGGCUGAAUGUCAAAAGUAAAAAGGUUGAAAAGCCAAUUUUCCAGGCGCGCUUUGUCCCCCCCCCCCCCCCCCCCCCGCCCCCGUGUGGGUUGCACAGGCUGUAAAUCAGCGGCUGGUAGCAGGGGCGGGAGGAGCCCCAUCCGAGGGCUUGGCGCUGCCCCGCCCGGACCGUGCACACCUCCCGGUGGGCCCGGAAUCGAUCCAAAGCCUAGCUGAGGAUGUCACCGCACUAAAUAUUUACUGAUCACACACAAAUAGCCGGGGCUCGAACGAUUUUCCUCUGUGAGGAGAGCGCGGAGAGAAGGGUAAAUCAUUUUAUUAGUGUGGAUAAAGCCCAGAGCACACUCCGGGCUGGAGUGUUUUAAGAUGUGUCUUCAACGGGAUGAAAAGAGUUAGGGAAAUCGAUACGGAGUGAUUAGAAGCCCCCGGGGUGACGAAGGGGGACGGGGCUGGAAGGGGGGUUGUAAGUCUCAAGGGGGGCGGCCUGACCACCGCCAGGGAGCUCCUGGGCGCAGGCCUCGGUCCUCUCAUCGACGGGAGAUGCGAGGGCGCAGCAAGCGGCAGGAACCCGCAGCCACCCGGCUUCGCAGGGCAGGCACCGUGGGAGGGCUGCUGGGCCGCCGCAGGGCCGAGUGCUUGGGAGCCUUGGACUCCACGCCUCCAGUGGCGGUAGCCAGGUGGAAGCCUAGGCGGGCGUGACGCAGGGACGCGGGCACAUUUCGCCACACGCGCUGUCUCCAGGCAGCCUGGGGUUGCAAAGGUGUAGCCCCAAAGAGUUGCUUUCUCCCCCUGGCAUUUUUUGGGUUCCUCCCAGCUUGACCCGAGACUUUCCGAACUUUCUCUUUGGUAAAUCUCUGCCUCUCAUCUCCUUUAGUAUUUCUAAAGAGGAUUCAGUGGCUCAGUCCCCAAUAACUGCUUUUCCACCCACCCACCCGGAGAAUACCCGCCGGUGGCGGAACCCGUUGGGGACUGCAGGACGAGUGGAUUUCAGGUUCAUCGGCCGUGGGCAGGUGGGACGGACGAAGUCUGAGGCCCGGAAAGAAAUCAGGAGGCAGGGUGACACACAUCAAUGAAGCCCCAGGAUGGCUCCUUCUCUCCCGGGCAGGAAACUAGCUUUUGCGGGUUCAAGGCCACACCCCAAGGGAUGGGAAGCCGUCUUGGGCCCCAAGGCUGAGUGCAACUAGCCAAAGUGGUGGAGAUGUAAAGGCUUACAGAACUCGCAGUAAGCUUUGGUAGUGGGGGCCAGAUUUCCUGGAAGGGAGAGAAAACCCUUUCCUCCCAAACUCAAGCAGCAGAGUCCUGGCGCGAAAAUGGCUUUUCACUUUUUGAAGCGCUAGUCUUUCGGGCUACUGUGAACAAAUCUUGAGGUUCGAGAAACAGCUGCAAAUAAUCAAGAAAGCACUAAUUUCUCGAGCGGAAGGCGGGGAAAGAGGAGAAUAAUUUUCGUUUCUUCUUUUCGCGCUCCUAAUGUUUUCCCCAAAAUACAUUUUCCCUGAAGAAAUUGAUAGCUACCUGUAUGUAUGUACGUGUGAAUGUAUUGAGAAACGUUCAUCACCCACCCCAUUGCUUUAUUUUCUUGGCAGCUUGAAGGAUUCAGUUCAGAUUGCCCUGCUUGGCUCUUCAGUGCAACAGGAAAUAGAGCUGCAGAUCCAAUUAACCGUUUUCCAGAAAGGAGAUAUAUAUAUAUAUAUAUAUAUAUAUAUAUAUAUAUAUAUAUAUAUAUAUAUAUAUAUGAAUCCCAAUGGAUUGGAGUGUUGUGUUCAGGUGUGAGGUGUGAGGUGCCUCGAAUUCCUUCCUCAGUAAUCCUCUGAUUUCUGCUUUGGAAGCUCGCAAUCACCGCUGACCUGGAGUGGUGUCAGGAGCCCGGUCUCCAUUAACCCUUUUUGGUCUUGGCCAGAGUGAAGGUUAACUACACUAAGCAACCAAAAGGAGUUGUAGAAAAAGGAAGCAAGCAAGGGAGUAAGGGAAGAAAGAAGGGAGAAAAAUAAGGAGCGAUGGAAAAUAGGAAAGAAGGAAGGAUAAAUACACUCUAGUUGCAAUAAUUUUAGAGCUAUAGUACUUCACUGCUCCUCCCCCACCUCCACCCUUCUAAGUCAACCGGGUUCCCACUGGAAAGAGACAACAGUCUCAUCCAUCAACACAGUAUACUCCAUGAAAACUGAACUUUAGGGAAUAAGAAGAUAGAAUGUAGUGAAAUAUUUCCUCUAUUUAACUGAAUACCCAGUUCACUUUAAAUAUAUGACUAAUAUGUAUGUAACUGAUUAUUGUGUGAAGGAAUUUUAAAAACAAACAAAACAAAAACCCAACAUAUAGUUUACUUUCUUUCAUCAAAGUAAAAGCUAAUUUAGAAUCUUGUCAGUAGCCAAAUUACAGCCAUAAAAUCUAGAUGAGAUUAGAAAAAUAUAUUCUGCUGGCUUCAAACCUGGUGGCACUUUAAUGGGUUGUAAUAUGAUAGUCAUGUGCAUGAGGUGUACACACUUAGGUGCAUAUAUAUUCUUGUGGUAUUAGAAGUUCCUUGAUGGAUUAAAGGUUCAUAUACUCAAACACUAGAUAGAGGCUGUCACUCCUGUACAUUCUGGGAGUCUAGCAGAAGGUAGUGCAACAGAGUUUUGAAUGAGCUUCUUGGAAUCACUAUUGUUGAAAUAGAAGCUGAAACAACUUAGUAAAACUAUUGUGGCUUGCAAAAUCAUAGAAAGGCACUUCAAAGUAAAAACACCAGAUUUACAGUUUGGUAGCUUUGGCAGGACAUUUAAACAAAAGUUAAGCAUCUUUUGCCUAAUAUAUUGAUUUUAAAAAUCAGGUGUAUGCUACUCUUUUUAAAAAACUUUUCAAUGGAUUACACAAUUAAAGGAGAAGAGGUUAGAGAUGAUGACACUUGGGGGGGCUUUGCCUAUUUGACCAUGUCUGAUAUGGGAUAUAUAUAUAUAUAUGCUUUUAAUAUUAAUAUUAUAUUCUAAGACAACUCCUUCUGAUAAAGUUCUAAAAACAUUUAAAGCUAUGUGGAUAUCAUCAUAAAGGGGCAGAGUAAGAAAUGAUGGUCUGAGUCUAUAUUUUUCACGAGCCUGCUAAUGAAAUAUUUAAAAUGACAGUUGAUUUUUGGCAUCCCCCCCCCAAAAAAAAAGUAUUAGUCAAAUGGUAUCAAAGGCCAUUCACUUAAAUGUGAAGGUGCUAGGCACAUAUCCAGAUAAAUUAAUAUUGUUAAUUAGCUGCAUCAGUGUACUUCAAGAAAAUACAAGCAGAAUAACAAAUAGGGAUUUAUUUCAUUGACUUUCUUUUAACCACAAUUUCAAAGUGAAUUUCAAAAGAAGAAAUAUGAUUUAAGAAGUAAUUCCUUCUCGGUUGUUUUUUGGAUUUAUUUUAAAAUAAAAGAGACAGUUUCAGUAUAAAGCAUAUAACUUGAAAAUAAGAUGACCAGGGACAGACAUACACAUGAUAUGGAUAGACACGCAAUAAAAAAACAUUGUGCAUGAAUUUAGAAAACAUUUAAUUAAUUACAUUACCAACCUCAUUUCUCUUCUUAGAAAGCGUGAUUUCUUGAAAUGCUGAAAGUACAUCUUAAAAAUUAAAAAAAAAAAACUGCAAAAUUAAGUGAAAGUUUUUUAACAUCAUGUUCAAUUUCUUGGCCAUAGGAAAUAUUAACUUGAGAGUUUACAAAGUGUAUUGUUUGAAGAAAAUUUACAUUGGACUUUUUAUUUUCAACACAGAGUAUUAUCUAUUAUAAUUUACUGUAAAUUAAUAAAUCUUUUUCAAGAGAUUUCUGUGUACCUGACUAUGGCAAAUUGAUUGAGAUGAUGUCACUUUAAGUGAUUAAAGCAAAACUGAAAUCAUUACAGGAGGGAAAUAUUGACUUCAGUGACAAAUGUCACAUAGGGUAUUUCUUGACAAGAUCACAGGAUAUCACAUGUCAAAGAAAAGUUAAAAUAUUAGGGGACCCUAAUUCUUUGCAGAAUGUAUGUUAAUAACUUAUUUACUUAUUCCCAGUGAUAUGUUGUGGUUUUCCAUUUUACAUACACUUUGUUGCCACAUGACAAACUAAUUAAAAGUAUUGUGAAAUAUAAGCAGUAAGGGGUUUAAAAGUAUUUUUUCUUCAUGACCUCUUGAAUGAUAAAAACUUAUAUACUCAUUGAUUUUUUUUCUUGUGAUUUUGGUUAAUUCAAUGGCUCUUGAAGUCAUGUAUUAUGUUGCAAAAGUCUGCACUGUGUAUAAAUUGAAAAUAACUUUGAAGGCAUCAGCUUUUUUUAAGGAAGUGCAAUUGAAUGUUCAGUUACUGAAGAGCUACUAUUUAAAUCCCAAGUUAUAUUGAAAACAAACAUCGAAACCUGUUCUUCUUUCCUAACAAAUCUUAAAAUUGUAAUUGGCAUGACUGUGGAUGAAUAUCUAAUAUAAGAGCCUUUAACUCUCUUUUCCUAUUUACCCUGGAAAUGUCUUUAAUUUGUCUUCUAAGCUUAUGUAAUUUAAAAAGCAUUAGUUAGUGUACAAGAAUUAUCCACCCUCAGUGAAAAAAAAAAUUUCACCCUCAGUGAAAAAAAAUUCUAAUCAUAGAAAAGAGGUGUGAUGUUUAUUCUGAAGUUUUGGUAACAUACAAAGUUUUCUUAGUAAACUAGAAAAAACUAUCCCUGACAAAAUAUAAUAGGGCAGCUGUUAGGUAUGGUUUUUUAUUCAUAUCUUCCUGCCCUGUUGCCACUGGUACUGUGGUGUUUGAAUUUUUGUCUUCAUCCACUGUCUAUUGUUAACAGUGAAUUUUUGAAAUAUACAAAAAAAAUCCAAAUUGUAUUGCUUCUAUAGCUGAAUACAUUAUUAAAUUAAAAAAUAAUAUUCACUUUUGUUUUCAAAGUUGUAUGUCCAGGCAAUAAUGAGGUGAGUUUGUGCAAAGUGCAUCACCCCUAACAAACAAAACAAAACCUUUGCAUCUAUCAGCUAAAGAGAAAAAAAAAAGUUCUCAGAAUUCAAAUAUAAAUGUGUUGUUUUUAUAAUUGAACUCUGGACAAGAUUUUAUUACAUAUCUACUAUCUACCAAGAUGAAACACACACACAAAUAUAUAUAUAUAUAUAUAUAUAUAUAUAUAUAUAUAUAUAUAUAUAUAAAAUUUAAAAAAUUUUAAAUCAAGUCCUAUCAACACAUGAUUGUAGGUUCUUUGAAGUAAAGGGAGAUCUGAAAAAUAAGCCUCCAAAAUAAAGAGAUAAGCAGCAGGGCAUUAUAGCUUACCUUAGUUUUUAGAGAUGUUACAAAAGUAAUCUUUUAAAAAUAACAAUAUCAUGCUUUUUCUUCAAGUACAAAAUGAGAUGAUAAUGGGAGAAAAAAGAAGAAGCUCCCCUCCAACUCUUUCCUACACAAACCCCCAAACAACCACAAACAAAACAAAAUAAAACCCAUCUCCUAAGUUCCCCAGAAAAAGCCCCUUACAACUUUGGAAAAGUUUUUGUAUAAGUGGGGGUCCUGCCAAGGCUCCCAAUUGGUCAAAUGUUUUCUUUUCUUUUUCUUUCAUUUUUUUUUUUUUUUUAACUCAGCGGGCAAUGGAUAGACUGUAGUUAGCAGCCUAGAGAAAAAGGCCUGACAUUGGGAGCUCAACUCCAAAGACCUACCCUUAGAGAUAAAUUUGGGACAGCAACUGUUGAAUGUUAACCUCUCCUUUCUGAAGGGGAUUUGCAGAAGCAGGACACUGAGAGCUGAUAUAGACAAUUUUUUUUUUCUUUCUAAGGCAUUUCUAACUUUUAUGAUUCCCCCCCACUCCACCUCCUUCUUUUACUAUCUCUCUUUGUGCCUCCAGGGCCAGUGAAAGAGCAGGGCAGAUUCUAGAUUGCUUUCAGAGUUUGCCUUCUCUGAUGAUGGAUUACCAUGUCAAUUUAAACGGCAUAGGAUUAAUUUGUUUCAAUGAUUUCUCUUUAGGCUGAAUGCCAGCCGUUUUUCUAUCUCUCCUCUUGCUCUUCAGAACACAACUGAGAGAGAGAGAGAGAGAGAAGAGAGAGAGAGAGAGAGAGACUGACUUCUUUCCAUAUUCUAUGUUGGGAGAGAGACAGUAAUAGAAAUAGACAAGUUAGGUGUAACAUUGCAACAGAGUUAUAGGUUUGAGUGUUUUUAUCUCUGCCUAAGAAGCUGAAACAUACAGCCAGUCACAUUAAAGUGAAAUUGGACUCAACAUUUAUUCAAUAAAUACUUGUGUUAUAGAUAAUCCAGUACAGAGUGCUUUUGACACAUAAGGACUUAAUUUGUCUUGGAUAACAAGUUAUUAAUAUGGCACAUUUAAACUUGCCACCUACAAUAAGGUUAUUGAGAUCUAUAAUAACCUAAAUGAUCAUUGUGAAAAAUAGUUUGGGUGAGAGAGGAAGAAUUUUUUAGACUGUAUAACUUUAUCUUAUAUAUAUCAACACAUAAGCACACAUGCAUGUGUGUGCCCCCUAUCUCCAGAUCACAUACAUGACAAAAAAAAAUUCAGUGAAGUUGAAAAGUUCCUUCCAUUAUGCAGAUGUAGCUAACCUUCCAAAACCAAGACUGUGUCAGAAAGUAUUUUUCUCUUUUGAAUUAUUUCUGACAUGCACAGGAAACAUGCUGUUCAGAUCUACUUUCUUUGCAAAACUAACCCCAUUAUGAAGUUGAAAAUGGCGCCAAAAUGCACGAAGGUGCAUCUGAAAUCAGACACCCCUCCAUCUUUUUCACCUAAAGUUGCAGCCAGCCAGUGCAUGUUGCUGAUAGAAUAAAGACAUUUUACAUGAAAUAAUCUAUCUCUACAGUGAUUGUUUUAUUUUCCUCUUUAAAGGGAGGUCAUCCAGUGAAUACAGAAAUAUAAGAAAGGGAUUUUAUCCUAUGAACCAAAUAUGAUGGGAAAAAGUGAUAUUUGAACACUGGGCUUCAUUUUUACCACACUUUUCUAAUUGCCUCUCUCUGCUCCAACAUUUCCCUACAGUAAAAUUUAGCAUUAUAGUUCAGAAUAAUAAAUUGCAUUUGGAUUAUGAAUACAAAUAGAUUUUUAGCUUUCCUCUUUCUGUCAGUUCUCUCAAUGCAUAGGCAGGCUUUAUUUGUGUAAUUCUACUUUCUAAGGACAUCCACAAUCAGAGGCCAAUCAAUGACUGUCAGAACCUGAAUCUAUGCAAUUUUAAUUUGUACAAAAGUUGUUGGUUGCUAACCUUGGGGAGAUUGUGCAUCUCUAAGAAACCAAAUCUUUGAGAGCUCUCCCUGGGAAAUGAUGUUACACAUGAGCAGAAAAUCCAGGCAAGAAAGGCUAAUUGAAUGAAGAGAGAGAAUUAGGUUAAAAAAUAGAGUACAAUCUAGUAUCACAUUUUCACUAGUGUAACUUGAAAUGAAGGUGUCUUCAAGUCGCCAGUGAUGCCAGAGUGUUUAGAUGUUGGCCACAGAUGGGAACACCUAUUGAAAUGUGUCUGAAGAAGAUUAAUAGGGCUUGUCACUGUUGGGAAAGCACUGCUUUGCUGUAAAUUUCUACCAGCACAAGAUGAAUUACCGAUGAAUGCUCACUUAUCAACCCCAUCACUAUCGUUCGACACUAAAUCAAAUUGAGAAGUUAUCUGCAAUCAGAAAAUUUCUUUUUAAAAUAGACACACACCUUUAGACCCCAACUGUUUAAUAAUCCCAUGCACAAAACAAUUCUCUAUACCACAAUACUUCUUUAGCUUAAUUGGAAUUAUUCUCAAUAAUGAAUAUAUUAUUAAGUUCCCACACAAUGAAAAGCUAAUCAAACACCAAAGUUUGGCAGUAUUUUAACCAGUGUGUGAAGACUUCUUGGGGGUCAUCAUUUAAUACUUUAUAAAACAUAAACAUGUUAUUUUUUUUUUCUUUUAGAUUUUUCUUUACUGGGAAGACAAAAAAAAAGUGGGUUUACUAUUUCAAACCCUUCAAUAUAAGAGGUGUUUCAUGCUCUGUUAAAAUUGUGAGAAUUGCAAGUUUUAUGCAGAGAACAGUAGAUUAGGAUUAAAUGAUAAUGGAGGACAAGCACUUUUAAAAAAAUGAUAUAAGGGUGUUUCAUGUAAUUUAGUUCAGGGAGUAUUGGGGAUUGAGUACAGCACCUCCAGAAUAGUAGGCAUGUAGUCUAUGACAGAACUGGUCCCCAACCUUCUUCAUACCUCAUUUUUAAGUUGGUUUAUUUGAGAAGCAAAACACAGUCAUUUCUUUUUAUUUUCUGCUAAACAACUCUAAGCAUCCAGAAGUUUUCCAACUCAGGGAUAAUCAUAUUUUGAUAAAAUCAUCAACUCUUGCAUUUCUACAGGGCUCUUCCUAUUUAAAAAGUGUCUUAUGCCUGACUCAUUUGAUUUUUUUGGUGCUGGGGAUUGAACGCAGGGCCUUGUGCAUGUGAGGCAAGCACUCUACCAACUGAGCUACAUCCCCAGCCCCUGACUCAUUUGAUUUCUAUUGAAAUCCUGUUCAGGCAGGUAUUCUGAAUUCCUAUUUUACACCUGAGUAAACUGAGGCUCAGAGUUUUUCAAACUCUAUUGACGUUAGAAAACUAACAGAAGCACCAUUUGAAACUAUGUUUUCUGCGUUCCUUUUAGUAUUUUUUUUCACUCCAAGUCAUUAUGUAUAUAAAAUUAUGUAAAUGAAGAAUAAAACUAUGAUGAUGAUGCUUGCUGCAGUUAACACUAUCUGCCAAAACUAUGGUCAGCAUUUACAUGUUGUUUUAUUUCAUCUCUAUACAGUUAUUUUAGAUAGAUACUGCUAUUAUUUCUAUUAUCAAAAAAAAUGAAAACAAAACAAAAUGAUGCUUACAGAGAUUGAGGACUUGCCUAAAAUUCUUAUUGCUAGGAAGUUGGAAUGUGUUACUUAAAUCCAGGAAGUCUGAAUGCAAAGCCACUGCUCUAUCCUAUGUUCCUGUUUUCAAUUUUAAGGAACAUUGAAUUAUUCUGGAUGAUCACAGAAGUCUCACUUAUUUUCCAGAAUGUAAAAAUUUCUCAGAUUCUGAGACAGUGUUAUGAUGAACAGGCCCUGGUUUGGAAAUAAAGAGAGCUGGGUGUAUUCCUUUUAAAUUUAUUUAACUUAUUUAUUUAUUGUUGUUGCAGUCCUGGGGGUGAAACCCAAGUCCUUGGGCAUGCUAGUCAAUGAGUUAUACCCCAGUUAUACCCCACUGAGUUAUACUCCAGUCCUGUCACUUGGCUUAAUUAUUUACUAAGUAGGUGACCUCAACCUCAUUGGUCUUUUUUUUUUUUUUCAUCAUCUCUAAAUUGGGGUGACUAGAUCUAGUGAGCCUUUGUAUAUUGCUUUUGGGUGCUUCUCUCAUUCAUGAUUUCUAAGAGGAAAGAAAAGGGGAACAGAAAAGAAAUAACUAUCUCUAAGGGUGUUUGGAGACAGUAACAUUCAGAGGUUGGAGAAAACAUGGCUCCCAUUUCUAGGAGAUGGGUAUUGAGUACACUCAGCAUUAGUUGAGGUCUCUAUUUUCUUUUUCUUGCCUCCAGAGAGCACUAAACACAAUCGCCCCUUCCUAUCAGAUGGGGAUCAGUUCCAGGACUCCCAUCAAAUAUCUAUCAGAGGAUGCUCAAGUCCGUUAUAUACAAUACUUUUUAUAUUUAUGUGUAACCUAUGAACAUGCUCCUGUUUAAAUAGUCUCUAGACUUCUCAUUACUUAAUGCAAUGUAAAUAAUAGUUAUACUUUCUUGUUUAGAGAAUAAUUACAAGGAAAAAAGUUGGUGUGUGUUCAGUAUGAGCACAAUUUUGUUUUGUUUUGUUUUUUGGCCCUCUUUGAUGCAGAGAUCUGACUUUACCUGAAACAAUGGAGGUUCUCUAGAAAACCAUAUAGUUUAAAUUUGAUUUUCCAAGUAAAAGCAAGAAGAUAAACUGGAGGUUUGUAGAAGUUAGGGGACUUACUCAGGGUCAUCCAACUAAUUGGUGACACAGUUGAAACUGAAUCCUGUUCCUCAAACCAGGAAUUGCCACCACCUCCACCUCACCCUUCCAAAAGCCCAAAAAACCAAAAACCUCUCCUCUACAUUAUGCUCCUUAUUCAACAAAAUACAUACUUUCCAUCAGCUGGUCAUGUUCCUGUUAUAACUAUUUCUCUAUUUUAUGAUGUGAUUCUUUGUGUGGGUUAUUAUUAGUUGUAAUAUGAAAUUUUCCUAAUUCUCUCUCACAAUCAUUUUUCAUAAAACCUAUUAAGCUAACCAGCCAAACAGUGGAAGCUGCAAAGAAGAAUCACAGUAUAAUAAGAAUACUCUGUAAUCUCCAUUAGGUCACAAUAAUACUCGAAUCUGUAUUUAUUACAAUCUUCCUCUGAUAACUUCCAAGCCAAAAUUGCUAGAUUUAUAUUCUCUAAUGGUUCCCAAUGGGAAAAACCUGUGUUUUUAAAUCUUCCUUUUCCUGUCCCAAAUCAUCCUUCCAGAUACAUUGCUUGCUUUGGGAACCCCCGUCUGGGUUUAAUCAGAAGUUGCAAGACAAAAUGUGCAUUAUUAAGAAAUAUAAAUAUUUUCAGAAGCAAUCAAAGGGAUGAAAGAUUGAUUCAGCAUGUAGAUUGGACCUAAUUUGAAGCAGCUUUGUUCUAAUGAGAGCUACUGGGACAGAAAGUUAGGAGCUGUCAUGGCCACCAGUUGGAAUUUCCAAUGCUUUGGAAUAACCUGUCAAGAUUCCUCUUACUAGAUAUGCUGAAACUUUUUGCAAGGUACAGUUUCCAGUCUGUGUCCUAAACCACCCUCCUUGCCAUGCUUAGGGACUUAUGAUAGUCAGCUUUGAGAAAUUAUGACUAAUUCCUUCUCCUUAGAGUUUACAUCAGCAAGUACCUCCCUUUUCAAAACUCGGAAGUUGGCUUAGCGUUAACUUUCAUAAGAACAUUUUGGCCUGAAGGCAUCUGUAUUACAAUUUCUUUCUUGGCUUAAUAAAAGGUAUCACAUUAUCUACCUGGUCAAUCUCUAUUGGCUUUCAAAAUAGAGACAUGGAAAAACCUAAUAAGCCUCAUUAGUAUAUCUGCUUUAAAAACAACAGGCUGCCUCAUUCAGCAUGUUGCUUUGAAAUGUCCCAGCAGAUCUGGGUGGUCACUGCUUGAAUACAGGUAUUGCUAAUUUGGGAUCUUUGUUAGUCUGGUAGCUCUGGAAAAAAAAAAAAAGCCAAAUGUAUAGGUGGAAUUUUAAUACACAAAGGAUUAAACCCUGAUUAUUGUAUUUUGUUUUUGUUUUCUUUCUUUCUUUCUUUUAAUCCCACUUUUUGUCCGAAUGGCCAUGUGUGAGAGAUGGCUUGAUUUUCUUGAUAUGGUUCACCCAUCCACAGCUGGAAUUCCAAAGAGGACUGAAAAUGUCUUUAAAAUCAACACAACUCAGGGAGCCUGAGAGAACAAGUUUUCCUUUGUUGUAGGGUAUAGUAUUAUUUGCUGUAGGUUUUUUGAUAUACAUUCUAAAUUAGGCCUGCAAAGGCAUGCUUCAUCUUUAAUUCAUCACUCUCAGCUGAAAGAGAUUAGCAAUGUCUAGCACGCACCCCUCGUAUGGUGCUGACCUCAUCAAGUAUGGCCUGAAAUUAAUUAGCCUCAUUCAUUCCAAAUGGAAAAGGAUAAUGGAGCAGCAUUUUAGAGAUGACCAUCACAAAUUGUAUGCAGCAUAUUUAAAAGGCCCCUAUUUUCAAACCAUGUAGAUUAAAAUUCUUUCCAGGGUUUACAAUAUGCCUGAGUUAUCAAGGACCCAAAGCAGAGCCCAGUCAGGCUUCAUGCAUGUGUGUAUGUACGCGUUCGUAUGCGUGCAGAGUUGUAUGUUGCAUGAGUACCAGUGACCAUGUUUAGAUACGUCCAUUAUUUAGCUGCCUGGUUCUCUAGGAUGACACCUGGAAUAUUUGAUCAACAAAUAUCUGUUGUUUAAUAUUGUUUAAAAUGAUUCAGUAGUGGAAAAUAUUAAGUGGACUUUUUCGGUUUUUGCUGUUAAGUGGAACAUGCCAGCACAAACUUUGCUGUUUUUCAGUAAGAUGCGAUUCAUUCUCUAAUUUAGAAACAGAAAAGCUUCUUAAAGAAACGCUCAACUUUCUAUUUUGAGUUAUUUUUGAAACUUUUUAUGUCUUUUCCCAUUCCCUACUGUUUGAUUAUAAGUUAGAUUACAGAAUCCCUUAAAUUUAUCAUCUUGCUAAGAUUAGCUGGUUUUUCUCUUUUGGGGAUUGAGUAAGGGAGGUCAAAAUUUUGAAUAUCAAAACUGCUUUCUUUUCAAGCCAACAAAAUCUUGACCAGGGUUCUUUGGGAUUCUCAAAGAUGUUGUAAAGUUUAUUUUUAUGAGCAGAGUUUGGGGACUACAAAUGGAAGAAGAAAAAAAGAAAAAGCAUGACUUUUUUUCUGUGUGUUUUCAGCUUCUAAUUUUUUUUCAUUAGUAUGAAAAGUAGCCAAUGAAUGAAAAGGUAUUAUUCAUAUUUGGGGGGAAUUUUAUAUAGCGUACAUUUCUUUGUUUUCUAUUUUUUUUCCAGUACUGGGAUUGAACUCAGGGACACUCUACCUCUGGUUACUAAAAAGGGCUUAGGAUCCCUUUUUGUUUAUGCAAUUUUAUUUGAGAGAGGAUCUCACCAAUUUUGCACAGGCUGGCCUUGAACUUGCAAUUCUCUUAGUCUCUUAAGUAGCUGGGAUUAUAGGAGUGGGCCACCAUACCUGGCUUAUGGUUACUUUUCUUAAGAAAAAAAAAUAUCUCAGAAUAAUUUUGUUUCAUUAAAUUAACAGUGGUUGUUCUGAGUAAUGUUACUGAAAAGCUUUCAUUUAAUUCUUGAAGGGAAAAAUGCAUUUUAGGCAAAUAAUCUUUUCAGAGUUCAUUGACAGGAUUUUCAUAUAUGUUAUUUAAGAUUAUUUGGUUUUAUAAUAACACAGAAACUGCCAAGUAUGUUUCUCAUAUCUCUGCAAAAAUUAAGAUUUAGAAAUUUAUCCAAGUUUACUUUUGCCUAAUCUUCUCAUCCCAGAAGGCCCUUUUAUCUAAUGGGCAGUUAUCAUUUAUAUGUACAAGAUCAUCAAUCACUAACUGUGAACCUAUCAUUUUGAUAUAAAAGAUCUAUCCUUAAGUCUGCCCAAACCUCUAGCAUAUAAUUUGAGGAAAUUGACUUGCUUAAAGUCUGGGCUUCUGACAUCUGGGGGAUAAAAUGAAAAAUUGGGGAAAGCUUACAUUAUACACAUUUGAUUUUAAAAUCACAGUUUAACUGAGCCAGGGAUAAGAGGAUGAUGUGAUACAGAAUUUUACAUAUUGACAGAAAUAGAUCAUUUUGCUAAUCAUCAUCUAAAUAAUUUGGAAUUUUGUGGCAAAUAAACACAGUAGUAAAUAAAGAGGAAUAUUCUGUAAAAAUUGCUUUCUCAUUAAAGCAUGUGUUACCAAAAAUAUGAUGUUCUUCUAAUAAUAAAUGUGAAAUUUUAUUUAUUAUUGAGACAAAGGAAUACAUGCAUUCUAUAAUAUUGCAAUUUGUUCAGAGACUGAACAGCCUGUCUGAAUUUUUACUUAAUAUGUCUUGUCAACUGAGGUAAAAAUGUAGAAAAACUGUAAAUAUAAGGAUUAGGUUGUAUGAAAUUUGAGUUCAUUCAAAUAAAAAACUUAAAGUAAAACUCAGAUGAACUUACUCAAUUUCAUUUGGUAUCCACCUGAAGCUAUAAAUCUUUUGUUGGCAUUUGAAGGUAGAAAAGAGGUUCACUAAAAUUUAAACCAGGUUUUCCUAAACCCUAAACUAGACUCGCUAACUUUGGGGUAAACUAUGGUUCCAUUUUAGGUUCAUAACAAAACAUUCAUCCUAUUUUAGCUAAUGAUGAAUGGAUGAUGGGUUAGAGGAGAGGGAACUAGAAGAUAUUUUUGGAAUUGUUGUUUUAUUUUAUUUCAUAUUUCCUGUCAUGUUCUGUAUUAGGGAAGAGCAGUAUAAUGAGACAAAUUUUUAGUGAUGUCUGGAAAGAUGACAACAAACAGAAGAUCAGAGCAGGGAAACUGGCAGUCUUUGAAUUGCCAAAUAUGCAUAAUUUCUUUUUAAAGGAGAACAUGGAUGAAGAACUAACAUUUGUAAGGUGCUUAGUAUUCUUGAGCACUGUUCUAAGUGUUUCACGUAUAUUAAUUUAGUUUUCUAUCGCAAUCCCUGGCAAACACUAUUAUUUCUAUUCUCCAGAUGAAAAACACCAGGCAGAGGAAAGUCACAUAACUUGCCCCAAAGUCACACUGCUUGUCAAAGUGAUCUGACUCCCACAACCACUUGUUUUGGAGUCUCCACCCUUAGGUCUGGUGCUAUAUUGCUUCUCAAGGGAACAUACAGUUAUAGUGUUGUUUGGAAAAUGAACUGCAGCAGACUAUGAAUGGAAGGGAAGUCUUCCCUUCUUUUUGACUUUUGAGGGCAGUAGGAAAUUUAUGGGGAAAAGCCAAUUUUCUUAUCCCAGAAGUAGGUGGGGAAUUGGUUUCCCAAACCUCCACUUAGAAAACUACAUUAUAUGUAGGAUGCCUCAGUGUGCAAGGCAGAGGGGAACAAAGUGAAAUUUAAAGAAAGUAUGUAAUGACAGGGUGAGAGAUUGCCUUAGAAGGAAAGAUGGAAAGAACUAAAUAAGUAGAAUUGGCUAAGCAGUAGUUACUAGAGAACUAGACUGUGUUCUAGAAAUAUUUAGAAGAAAAAUGAGGGCCUACAAAUGUCAGUAGGGAGGUUGAAAAGAAGCAAAAAAGGAAAGGUAUAAGAGCAAAUCAAAUUAAAGUAAACUCUAAGAGUCUGUCAUUGUCUUGAGAGACCCACAAAGAAAGCCAUAUUUUCUUAGAAUAGUGAAGCCAUAGCCAGAGAUUUCAUAGGAAAAGAAAAUUUCAUUCCCUGUGUUGUACUUUGAAGCAGAGAAAUAGGCUAAAAACGAUAGUUUAGGGCUAUGGGUGUAGCUCAGAGGUAGAACACUCAACUAGAGUGCAUAAGGCUCUGGGUUCCAUUCCCAGUACCAUUAAAAAAAAAAAGAAAGGUUGAAAAAUGCUUUGCAUAAAUUGGCAUGGUUUGUGUGCACCUGUAAUUCCAGUAAUGCAGGAGGCUAAGAUAGAAAAACAGCAAGUUUAUGGCCAGCCUCAGCAACCUAGCAAGGCCCUAAGCAACUUGGUGAGACCCUGUCUCAAAAUAAAAAAGAAAAAAAUCUAGGAAUAUUGCUCAGUGGUGAGUCCCUCUGGGUUCAAUCCCCAGUCCAAAAAAUAAAAAUAAAAAGCUUUGCUGGGGCUGGGAUUGUGGCUCAGUGGUAGAGUGCUCACCUAGCACAGGGGGGACCCAGGUUCAAUUCUCAGUACCAUAUAAAAAUAAAGGCAUUGUGUUGUGUCAAUCUACAAAAAAUAAAAAAUUAAAAAAAAUAAAAAUUCUCUCUCUCUCUUUCCCCUUAAAAAAAGCUUUGCAUAAUAAUACAUGGAAUGCCCCCAUAUCCUUUAUGUUUACUAUCUCAUUUAAUCUGCAUUAUAUAUUUGUAAGGCAUAUGUAUUAUUAUUUCUACCUUACAGAUAUGGAAACAAGAAUCAGACAUUAUGUUACCUGCCCAGGAUCAGAAAGCCAAAAUCCCUCUAAGUCCUCCCCAAUCCUGGUCUCCUCCCAGAAGCGUACUCUGUGUACUCCCACACAACACCCCCACCAUUGUGCUCAGAAAGUGAUAUUGUAAAACAUCGUCUGGUUUUAUUCCAAAUUCAUUAUGCUGCAUUACCUGGAAGGAUCGUACUGAUAAGAACACAUUAUGCUGGAAGAAGACAUAGCCCUGCUUCUGAAAUCUGGCUGACAUCCUCUAGGAGGUGGCCCAGUCUGCUCAGUUUGUUCAGAAACUGUGCAUGUUGAUUAAACACACAGCAGUGGGUUUGGAUGUGGGACCAAAUGAGAGCCGGAUAUACAUAAGAAAAUGAAGAGGAACUCUCAAAGGAGGCCUUGAGCAUCCUGUGUCUACAGGCCCCCAAAUGAAAUCACCUGGCUGUUUAUAGGAAUCUUAGUGCUGAUGAAAAGACUGAAUUAACACUGCAAACUGUUCCCUGCCAAUAAAGAAAAGUUCCAGAUUCUUUAAAAAGUAUGUAAAGCAUCGAUCUGUAAAGUGGCAACAACAUUUGGGACCAAUUACCCAGAUUAGGCGGCAACAAUGGUCUGUUUACACUUUGUAGCCCAGAGCCCUUUGGCUCUGGUCCACAAGCAGGGGAUUGUAAAUUACAGGAAUUUCAGCCCAACAUUGACUUCUCUUUUGACCUAUGUGUCUGAGUACAGAGAAAAGCAGGUGAAAAAGUCCUGUUGUGACUUGCCUGAAAAAUGUCAAUGAAUAGGGAACUGAACAUUGUCUUCCAGGUAAAACACUUAACACAUAGACCCUCUGUAAAGGAGGCCUGGGUUUUAUCAUGCAGAGAGGAGUCUGGCUGACUACAAAAUGUGUCAGGAUAUAGUUUUUCAGUUUGCAAAGUUUCUCAAAAAUGAUUUUUGCAAGAGAAGUUAGGAAAUAAAGGCUGCCUGUCAUCUUUUGGUUACUUACCAUGCCCCUUCAAUUUAACUCCCUUUUCCAACACAUUGUGUAUUAGUAACAAAUGGUAGAUAGUGACAUUACUACCAUGAGAACUGUAUUGGUGGCAAUGAUUAGCCUAGGUGGCAGCAAAUACAGAUGUUGAGGGGAAAAAAUGCGUUUAGAACAUUUGGACAAAACUCACAAAUUUGAAUUGUUUGAAACUGAGGUGUAGAUUUCUCCCUCUUCUUAGGAGGAACAAUCUUCAUUUUUCAUAACUCUGGUAAUUCUAGAACUUUUUGAAAGUACUCUCUUUCCUUUAAUAUAAUCCUGAUGUUAAGGCUUUGACCUUUGGGUGGGGGGAAGGGGUGAAUAUCCACAGAGAUCAGGAAACAAGAAGAAAUGGGAAAAGUAGUCAUUCCCGAAGAGUAAGCUGCCAAAUGCAGCAGUGUGGAAAAGACAGAUUAUCAUUUUACCUGCGCUCAUAAUGGCAUGUGUUCAGAGUCUAAAAAUUCAGCCACACCAAAUACAACUGUUAGACCAUCAAAUUGGAAAUAACAACAGUCAAGGACUGAAUUCUUGUUUUUCAAGUUCUGUCACUUGGACAGUCAUUUAGAUGAAAACAGAAUUGAGGCUGUGAUAGUGUAGUGCUGUGGGAAUCUCAGAGCAGGAAAGCAUUUCAGUUUUGAACAAAUCAUCCUGUAUGUACUUAGUCUUCUAAGGCAACUCAUAGACGAUGCCAUUCCAGAUCCUUCAUACAUCAACAUAUUUUACUGAUAAAAAAAAACUGGUUGGAAAGCCAACUGUAUUCAACUUUGGAUUUUUCUGACUCUGGUUCAUCUAAAAAUUUUUUUACCAUUUUCUGCAAUGUCAGAGCUUCCUGACAUUUACAAUUAACUCACAAAUUAACUUAGAAAUGAUAGUAAGCUCUCAGCUAAAUGAUAUAGUGGCCACUGGGGACCAGACCAAUUUUCCAGAAUAAGGUUAGGACUGAGUUGCUCUGUAACAAUGCUAAGGUUGGUUGUAUAGAAGCAGUCGUUCAAAUGUGAGCAGGAAUCUAGGUGUAAGAGGACAGACAUUGUCGGUCUCUGAAGUUGGCUGGGUACUUGGCAUUCUGACAUUUCUUAACCUAAUAAAGCAGAGAUAAUCUGUUUACUUUUUCUUUUUUUUUUUUUUUUAAUUCAAGACUCCAUUACAAAAUCAAGAAGACAUGGACUUCUACUACUGGAAGGAAAAUUGAACAUUGGUCCAAAUUCCUGCUGAACUCAGGGUUUUGGAGAUGGAUAGAUGAGUGCAGAUGAAGACUGAGAAAUUUCAGGAGUUGCAGAUUCAAGGCAGGUAACAUGUGUGGGAAGGUGUGGGCAAAAGCCUCCAGUUGGCCCAGGGCCCAUCUAAAGAAAUGGAGGGGAAGGGCUCAGUCUCCCCAAGCUGCUUAUGUAGGAGAAAGCUUUGUUUAUGGAAAGCUUUGUUCCUCAAAUGGAAGCCCAAAUCCACAUCUCUGGAACAUCAAUCCAUCAGAUCAAAUUCUAUCCUUAGAGGACAUAUAAUUGAAUCUUGUCCCUUUACCCUGUGACAGACCUCCUGAUACUUGAAGAUAAUGGUCAUACUCCCCAAUCCACUGCUGGUGUUUAACUGGAGAGAUUCUCCAGUUUCCCAUAUAACUCAGAAACUCUUGCUUUCCUGAGUUAGCCUUGGCUUUCCAGAAUCUUUUAAGAAGUCUCUGUCUUUAUUUUUUAUUUUUUUUGUGGUGCUGGGGAUUGAACACAGGGCCUUGUGCAUGUGAGGCAACCACUCUACCAACUGAGCUAUAUCCCCAGCCCUUAAGAAGUCUCUUGAGGGCUGGGGUUGUGGCUCAGCUGUAGAGCAUGCACCUAGAACAUAUGAAGUGCUGGGUUCAAUCCUCAGCACCACAUAAAAAUAAAUAACGAUAAUUUUUUUUUUAAAAGUCUCUUGAAAUAAAUAAAAUACACAGAAGUUCUGUCACCAGCAUAGACAGUGUCUGUCCACUGUAUCUUGUUACUGGUCUUAAAGAAAGCCCUCCACCAGGGAAGAGCUCUGCACUCCUGAGUCAGACUUCAAUCAUCUGGGGCUUAUACAGUGGAUUUAAUGCAUUUAAGAAUGUCUCAUGUUUAUCCCCAUUAAAUUUCAUUUUGCUUUGGCUUUUUGUUAGCUUUUAGAAUCUCUGUGUCUCUCUCAUCUUUUGUUGUUUUACAAAUUGCCCAGCCUUUUUAGAAGUAGUUUUUCCCAAUCAUUGAACUAAAUUUUGCAGAUAUUGGGUUUCUAGGGUUUCUGGGGUCUUCCAUGUCACUAGUGUUAUGUUGAAAAUAGUUGCAUAUUUAUUUCUUCAAUCAGCUCAUAAGUAAUGGUUAAUAGAGGGGUCUCUGGAACGAAAUUUGCUUGGGUUUAAAUACUGCAUUUGACAAUGUACAAGUUAGAUGGCCUAGGGCUUGUUUAAUUUAUCUGUGACUCAGUUUCUGCAUCUGUAAAAUGGAGAUAAUGUAAUUACUAUAUGUAAUUGUUUUAAUGGCUAGAUGAUUUGGUAUUUUUGGAGGGCAUGGGUAUGAGGGAUUGAACCCAGAGGCACUUAACCAUUAGAGCCACACUCCUAGCCCCUUUUAUUUUUUAUUUUUAAUUUGAGACAGGGUUUCAGUACGUUGCUGAAGUUGAUUUUGAACUUGCGAUCCUCCUGCCUCAGCCUCCUGAGUCCCUGGGAUUACAGGCAUGUACCACUGUGCCCUGAUGAUUUAAUAUUUUUAAAGCACUUAAACUAGUGUCUAGCAUAUAGCAUGCAUUAUUUAUUAUAGAGAUAAAAUAAAUUGAGAAAAGAUACUUAAGAAAGGGGACAAUGUUGUUCAUAUCUAUUUCUCUAAAGAGAUACAGGGGCUGGGCACAGUGGUGCACACCUGUAAUCCCAGUGGCUCCAGUGGCUGAGACAGGAGGAUCUGGAGUUCAAAGCCAGCCUCAGCAAAAGUGAGGUGCUAAGCAACUCAGUGAGACUUUGUCUGUAAAUAAAAUACAAAAUCGGGAUGGGGAAGUGGCUCAGUGGGCAAGUGCCCCUGAGUUCAAUAUCCACUACCCCCAAAAAUAGAAAAAUAAAGAGUUACAGGGGCAUUUGGUGCUAAGAUGUUGAGAAUACAGGUGAAUGAGUUUCCAUAGUGUUGUAAACACUGGAUGUAAGCAGACAAUAUAAUCAAUACUCUAGUUUCUAAUGCUCACAGAUUUUCAAUAUUAUUAUAACAAAGAAAUCUUGAAUUCAGGCUCAUGCCUAUAAUCUCAGCUUCUCAGGAGGCUGAGGCAGGAGGAUCACAAGUAGAGGCCAGCCUAGGCAACUUAGUGAGACCCUGUUUAAAAAAAAAAUUAAAAAAGGACUGGGGACAUAGCUCAGUGAUAGAGUACCCCUUGGUUCAAUCCCCUGUAGUAAAAGUACUAAAGAGAGAGAAAUAAACCCUGAAAAGAGAAGUUGUGUAGAUUCAACAUCUCUCUGGUGGUUAUUUUCCUGCUAACCUUUCUAUGAACAAUAACAUCAAUAAUAUCUUUAUUGAGGCAAAUCUAUCAUGCCUUCAUUUAGCAUAGAAGACCAGAAAAAUCACACACUCAGGUCCAAUCUAAACUCAGAAGGGGAGAAUCACACUGCUUAGUUUGUAUUUAUUCCAGGCUGAGAGGAGAUGACAUGUAUUUUUAUCAUGAAAAAGAGCUGAACAGGAAUGUUAGUGCUUCUUAGAUAUUUAUUUCAUUUAAAACUUUGGUAGAUCCCCAGGCCAGAGGCAGACUCAUUGAAUAACACAUGCUAAGAAAUAGAUGUUUUAAAACUUCCCCCACUAUAUGGAAGUCUCUGCAUGGUCCUACCUUUUCAUUAACACCAGCCAUGAAGCUACUGACAUCAGAGUGGGUCUUGAUUUAUGUGCAUAGCAACCUAAGGCUCCCCUAGGUUCCACUUCAGUGUGUCAUAUCCAGUUCUCAUCAGGUUGAAAAUUUAAAACUUUCAGAGAUACCUUUUAACAGGCAAAUCUCUUUGAACCUCAGUCCAUGCUAAUUUAAACACAUUGGGUAUUUUCUUCCUUCUGAAUUAGUACAGUUGAGCUCAAAGAAUAAAAUUCACCGCUGUUUUCUCCUUUGUGUGUGUUCAAUAGGUACCCCCAAGCAAUUACCUACUGUGAGAUGUGGGAGGAGCCAUUCUGUAAUAGCAGGGGCCACUGGUAACAUGAUAUGUGGUUGUUGUGUGUGUAAUGUGCUAAUACUUUUGACAGCAACCAUCCGAAAGGGGUGUAGCAAGUUAUUUGAAAUUUGUACACAGACUGCCCUAUCCAUUACGCAUCGCCCAUAUCAUACCAAUAAUCUCCCAGGGCAGAGAUGCUGUUACACUCGGCGGGCCACGGGCUGCCGUGUGGGUAUGCACACAACUCCCACUGACUGUGCCACCGUGACACUUCAAUGGGAGUUGUCAGCAGCAUAAAUUUAGCCCUGUACAGUCGCAACCACAGCGGGCGCAGCUAAACAGAGACCUGGCUGUGUGUUAAAAAGGCUGAGUAAGAACAAAAAAGCUGCCAGUUUUCAUAAGAAAUCUUAUCCCCUGAGCAUUGAGAACUGUAGCCUGAUACUCACCACAUUCUUUAUCCUUGUCCCACAACCUGCGGAUCCCAGGCUGGGACUUGGAAGCAACGAACAGAGUGGGCAUUAAAAAGAAAGGUCUGCUACAGGGCAUCAAACCGUGCUUUGCAUGCAACCUUAUUAUGUGAGGGAAAAAAUCCCCAUAGAGGAUCUUUAGAACAUUUAUUCAUCAAAAUUUAAAGGAACACCUUGGAACCAAACCCUUCUUCAAAUAUAGAAAAUUUAAAACACAUAAAACAAGAGCACAAAAGUGCUCAGCUUUUCAAAGUCACUCAUCUAUCCAGUUUGAAUCCCACAGUGUUAUGGGUGUUAUAAUAUAUAACACAUAGAUUGUCAUGCUAACAUGAUCACUGCUAUUGGAGACCUAUUUUAGUGUUUUUCAGCAUGUUUUCUAAUGCAAGUCCUUUUUUGGCCACUUGAACAUCCCCAAAUCAUAUCUUCUAAGUGACCAGGUGUCACUAACCUCAAUCCCCGAUUGCAGUAAACCUCAGGAGUUAAUCCUCAGUGCUCCGAGUCCCAGCCCUCACUGUUAUAAACAGUGAAUUCUAUUUAUUCAUAAUUAGCGGCAGUAGUAUUUUGGCAGGCAGAGCCUGGGUUUGAAUCCCUGCUUUGUGCUACAAUAACUGUGUGUCUUGGGAGUGUUGUGUAACAUCUGUAAACCCCGUUUUCCCCAUCUGUAUCUUGAAGUUGACAAAUACUUCUUCAUAGUGAUGUUGUGAGGACAACAUGAGAAACAUGAGAAAGCGUGGAAGCACUUAGCAUAACAUACACGCUCCAACAAAUGACACAUGGUACUUAGUACACACUCAAUAAAAGCUUCCUUGUUUUUUUUCUUCUUCACCAUUAACUAAUGAGCUCAUGCUCAUUCAAACCUAUGUAUGUGAAGAAAAACACUGCUCUUAAAAGCAACUCAAUUAAAUAUUAUCUCAUGAAUAAGAGAUGACCAUACAUUUAACAAAAUGCAUUUAAAGCUACACUCAUCCUUUGAUUUUUGGUACAGAACAAAUAGGAAUGAUACAAUUCUAAAGGAAAGAGUAAGCAAGGAACCACAUUAGAUAUUCAAUCAGGUCUGAUUAAUGGCUACUUCCAGUGGCAAUUUUAGCUGAGCUUAAAUUCCUGCCUUUCUAACUGUUGUGGGAAGUGGUUUUGGUGUCCAUGAAGAAACCGAAUGCAGGACUGGGGUAGCCCAGUGCUGCAGCACUUCCCCUAGCAUAUGUGAGGCCUUGGGUUCCAUCCCCCAAAACAAAAGAAAAAAUAAAGUUGAAUGCAUAAUUAAUUCAAAAUUUCCAUAGAUUUUUUUCUCUCAGUUUGGGAAAGACCAAAAGUUAGGUGCAAUUCUUUUAAUGCUAUGAAACUAGUAGGUUUCAUGAUAAUGAAUUUAUAUAUACAUAAUUAUCUUACUUAAUAAAUUUAGACUUGUAAUUUCAUUUUUUUUCAUCAGUUCACAAUGUAAGGACCCCAGUUUGGAGUUGGAUUAAUCACGUAUUAAAAAAAAUUGCAUUGCUCCAAAAGACUUUCACUCGUUUUAAGAAAGGUAGUCUAGGUCACAUUCAAAAACUAAUGUGUUCUUGCGUAUGAAAGUGUAAUAGGUUAAUUUGAAAGGUAUGAAUAAUUCAACACACAAUCAUGUGUUUUUUUAUACGUAUUUUUCCCACAUGAAAAUGUUGCUUUAUCAUUGUUAGUAAAUUCCCAUUGGUACUAUAUAUCAGUUACAUAUUUGGAGCAAGGUUUGGAGAUCCAACGUUUUUUUUUUUUUUUUUUUUUUUUGGAGAAAGAACUAAAGUUUAAUAAAAUUGAAAGAGCACGUGCAGUUUUUGUGUGUGGACUAUUUUCAGGUCACAAAGUAAUCUUCCUUGGUUUGCAGUUGCAGUUAGAAAAUGCUGGAAGUAAAAAUGACAACAAAAAAUCAAACUGAAUUUGUACAAAAUGCAGGGGCUUUGAAGAUUGUGUCUGAGCAUUUGGUGAUGGCAGUGUAACCACUUCUAUAUGUAUAAGGAAAUAAUUAAAAAAAAAGACUAAGGCUUACUCUAAACACAACUUUAGGUGGUAAAUCAAGCUCUGAAUGGAAAAUAAAAUUGCUGUAUAUACAUCAAAUUAUAUGCACAUCCAUGUAACUCUCAUACAUGUAUCCAGGUAUAAGAGUUUGCACAUGAUGAGCUCUCUAAGUUCUUUUUGUUUCAUCAAAGAUAAUAUAAAAAUAGAAAAACUCAAAUCUGCCUUCUGCCUUCCAAUCUCAUGUCUUUCUGUGUAGGCUUGGCCUCUCAUGUUCUGCUAAAUUUGUGGUCAGUGAAUCUUGUCUGAUCUAACAGAAAUUCUUUUUAAAAAACAAGGUACCCCCUUGCCCAGCCACAUUUUGCCUCAAUUUUACUUAUCCCUCCAGCCUCCCAUGCCUGUCAAAUCAUAGCAUCGCCUCAGCUGCAUCAAAUUGAUUUAGGACACUAAACAUUUCCUCAAAAAUUAAAUUCCCCAUGAAAACUUAGCAGGACCAAUAAUGGCAUCAAAAAAGAGUUAUGGGAAAAGUGCCAGAAGUUGAGCUAAAAUGAAGGCCGAUUCCUUUAUAUCAGGGAGGAGGGGAAAAGGGUCAGAGAAGUGAAAGGAAAAGCAGGGCAGGAGGAGAGGCAUGAAGGAGAGGAGGGACCGAAAUUAGAACAAGAGGCUAUGUUUAUUAAUAACCUUACUGACCCACAGGACCCUGACACAAAAUACAUUAAGGAUUCUUGGGACAUUCUGGUCUGUCACUCAUACGAGGAGCAAAUAAAAUGCAGUUGGAAGCUGCAAACUUUCUGAGAACAGAUUAAAAAAAAAAAAAGGAGGGGGGAGAGAGCCAGAAUAAGGUGAAGGUUUAGACUUACAAGCUUAAGAGGUCGGGUGGCCUGGGCUCUCCUUUCGUCCCCUGCAUCAUCCUCUCUCGGCAGUUUAUCUUCCAUUGACACACUUUUAUCAAACUAGGAUUUAAAGAGCACAAGAAAAAAAAAUAUAUUUUAUUGUUGUGAAAAGGAUAUAUGUCCAUGGCAGAACAUUUGGCAAUUAUGGAAAAAACACCAUGAAGUGAAUAGAAAUUGCCUCUGAGCCUUACCAGCAGGGUGUCAUCACUGCUCAUACUUUUAAAUACAUUUUAAAAUCUCUACUUUUUUUUUAAGACCGUUAUUUUAUUUAUUUAUCUCUUGAUGUGGUGCUGGGGAUCGAACCUAGUGCCUCAUGCAUGUUAGGCAGGUGCUCUAGCACUGAGCCACAACCCCAGCCCUCCUGGACUUCUUCUUUUUUUUUUUUUUAACAUGAAUAUAUUUGUUUGUUUGAAAAACAGGAGAGGGGCCCUGAUGGAUGGGCUGCUGUGUAGUAAACUGCUUUUUCCAUUUGACAAGACAGAAUGGAUGUCUCAAAACGGAUUCUCAAAACUAAUCCAAAUCAUGAUUUUUAUGUCACCAGUGACUCAUUUGACCUCUCGUUAGAUAGUUAGGUCUUUUGUAGCUUUUAUAAAAUCUUUGUGUGUAUUUUCAUUUUCUCUGUCUAAAUUACUGUAAGUGAAAAUCCUGCCUUAUUAAUUCAUUUAUCUAUUUGUUACUUAUUUAUCUAUUUAUUAUUUAUUUAUUUUUGGCUAUGUUUUGUAGGGUUGCCCUCCAAAGAAGUAUUUGUGCCAUUUGCACUGAAUGAGAAUGCUGAUUUCAGGAAAUAUUAGUUCUUCCCCAAAUAAGGAAAAAACCCUUAUUUUUGGCCUACGGACUGUGAUUUUUAUUUAUUUUUGGUUGUUUGUGAUGCUCCCUUUCUUCCUGUUUCCUGACUAUUGGUCUUGUUUUGUGUCCUUGCUAUUACUUUUUGGUUUUCAAUCUUUUUUUAGUUAUAUAUGGACACAAUAUCUUUAUUCUUUUUAUUUUUUUAAUGUGGUGCUGAGGAUCAAACCCAGUGCCUCAGAUGUGCCAGGCAAGUGCUCUGCCACUGAGCUACAACUCUAGCCCUUGCUUUUACUUUUAUUUGCUUAAGUUUGCCUCCUAGUUCUAUGGGGUAUUAGCUGAUUUUCCAUUAAAUUAUAAGUUUUCUUUAUCUUAAGUUUAUUAACCCUUUCACCAGGAUGUACUGCAAAUAUUUUCUAUUUUGUCAUUUGGUUUUUAGUUGUUAAUUCAUUAACAUAUGUUUGUGCAUUUAAUUGAAAAAUGUUUUUUUUUCUUUCUACCUUUGCUUUUAUGUUUAAAAAGGCUUCGUAUAUUCCUGCAUGAGAUCAAUAUUAUUAAUCUAUAUUUUCUACCAGUGUUUUUGUGGAUCCUUUUAUUUUUAAAAACAUCUAAAUCUCUCAUUUCUUUGAGAAUUCUUUUUAGUCCAUGUGGUAAGAAUAUAUUUAAUGAAAUUCCUUUUUAUUAUAUAUUAUAUGUUAUUGGACCCUUUUCAAAUUUUUAUGUUUUAUUUCAUUUUUUUGUCUUCAUCUCUUUUCUCCAAGUUUUUCUUCUUACCUAUAAUUUAAGAAAAUGUUUUUUUAAUCAGUAAUGAAAGUUUUUCCUCAUUCAAAUUAGUUUUCUGGAUUAUGUGUUCCUGCUUGGUAUGCUUUAAGAAGUCAUCAAAUUCCAAACUAUUUCUUAAUGGGUGGGGAUUUGAGUUCUUUUAGUAUUGGGUUUUCUCAUGUAGAAAUAAAUGAUGGCUUCUUAUUUAACUUUUCAUAUGAUCUUCUGAAAAGGUAGAGUUUCUUUAGGUAGUUUCUCACUAUAGUCUCAAUUUUAUUCAGUGCUUUUGUGCAUGAAAUUUUCCUGGUAUAUUUUAUGACACUUUGCUGGGAAGUCAAUUUAUUUAUACAUUUUUGUUUUCUAUUUGCCACUUGACUGAUUUUCUAUUCAAAUGAUUUGGCCAAUUUGGUUAUUAUUUUCAUUUAUAAAUAUAUAUAUGUAUAUUUUUCCAGUGGUAGGGAUUAAACCCAGGGCUUUGCUCAUGCUAGGCAACUGCUCUGCCACUGAGCAAUUUGAUUCUCUUUGAGUUAUCUAGGCAGAUGAGAUUAUCAUCUACAAAUAAUGAUCUCUCUAUCCCCUUGCCAAAAUUAUAUAAUUUUUAAAAGUUUUUUUUCUUGUCUUAUUGCAAAAGAUGAGACCCUCCAAGUCACUUAAAGGUAUUCAUCAUUAGGAAUGCUUCCUAUAUUUUGAUAUUAAGUGUGAAUAUCUGAAUAUGUGUAAUUUUGCUGAGCUCUGACUUUCAUACAUGUUUCUAGAUUCAGCUUUCAGCCUCUUUUCCUGAAUUAUUAUCAUUAUUUUUUUGUUUGUCUACCCCACCCUUCUGCUAAGUCCUAAAUAAGUCUUACUGUUCCUUUACUCAAGAGUGUUCACUCUGUGCACAGACAUCUCCUGCUUGUAUCUAUUGAUUCUUCUUUGGAACUCUAAACACCCAUUGUUUACUUACUGAUAGUACAACUCUCCUUUAAUUCUCAGACUAACAUGAUAAAAACCUGAACUGCUCUUGUUUUAUUUUAGUAAAUCAUGUGAAACUUAACAGGAUAUUUUCUGCCAACUUAAAAGUUAAUGUCUUGCCUGAGAUUUUUUAUUUUCCCAUUUUAAGAAAAUGCUAAAGUAUUUUCUCACAUAGAAAUUAUCAUUUCAUUUGAAUUUGCUGACUUUUUGCCAAUGAGAAGUAAAAAUAUCUUGGGAUUUUGCAUAUGCCAUGCAAAAAGGAUUGGUUCCUUGGGUUAAAACAAUAUGUGAAAAGAGACCUAGGGGAACAAACAGCAAGAGUUAGCAAUAGUGCUGAGGUUGUGUAAAGGAUGUAGAUUGGUGAGCGCUUUUGGGGUAGGCCAGACCUAAUAAGGGUGGAUCCUUGGAGAUGUCAUUUUAUCACCCUGACCCUCCAAGUCUUCUGUAAAUUGUGAGAUAAUGCAAAAAUUAGUGACAACUUCCAAAAACAUUUUAAUUAGACUUAUCACUUUAAAGAAGGCACCUGGUGGGUUCUUCCUAUGGGACACUAUUGGGUCUGUUUGGUUUGAAGAUAGUGGUAUGUGUCAUGUUUUAGAUAACAAAUAAAAAGCAAAGAGGAUUUCUAUCAUGACUUUCUAUAUAGAACUAAUCCCAAGCAUGCUCAAAAAUUUGCAGAUUUAGUCAACAGCAUGGGCUGUACUGGGGGUGUGGUCAAAGGGCUCCCUAACUUCUGCCCAGGAGUGGGAACUCUGUCUUCUUUUCUAUCCUCUCGUGUGGCCUUGUUCUUGACUGCUCAGAUUCCUUGUACCCUACUUCCUAUCCCAUGAUAAUGGAACAUUCCAUGUGAAAGUUGAGAUUCUGUCUUUCUCUGAGGGAGACAUCUGAUAAUGUAAUAAAUUGAAUUGUUGUAGCCAUGUGCCUACAUUUAAGAAAAUCCCAGUACUCCUUAGCUUUUCCAACUUGUUCACCUAGGAAGCACUCCUAUUAUCACCAAACUUCAGUGUGAAGGUGUCAGAAUAAGAAUUUUCUUGUAUCAAUCCCAAAAAUAGACAUUUGUAUUUUUUUAAUAUGGUGGGAGGUAUCUGUAUUAUUAUUGUUUAAAAUCAAUUAUCCUUUACUUCAUAUUUUUCCCUGUUGUUUAUUUUAUCUGUCCUACUUUCCCAGAGGGACAGAAUUAAAGCCCCCAUUUGGUUUUUAUUAGCAUAAUCAGUUAAUAGCUGUUCUAUAAUGCUUUACUUAUUGUGUUAAUUUUCUGUAGUUAUGUCCAGAGGCAGCUUCCUGAAAGACCACAUUAAAAAAAAAAAAAAAAGACCUAACUUACUUCUUUAAUGGAUCCAGUUACCAUUUAUACUUAAGCUAAGAUUUUUGAAUGCAAUUGAUCUAUAAAGUCAUUGAAAAUAUAUAGGAACUAUAGCUAGUAUUUUAAAAUAUAUCUGUGGUGAGUCUAAACAUUUCAUUAGCAUCAUGUACAAAUGCAAAUCCUAGUGUCUCUGGUGACUUCGGUUUAUCCCACAAGUUCUUUGGAUUUGCCCUGAGUAUGUCAGAGAUGUUAGUAUGUGCUAUUACUAUGUAUUCUAUCCUAAUUAUUUCAGUUCUUCUAUAUGUCUAAAUUCUGAUACCUGGGGACCAUUGUCCAUCAUGUUGAGGAGUUUAAUGGGAAUGUAUCCUAUGUAGACAUUGGUAUUCAAAAGACUAGUUCUCAAAUUAAAAUGUAACUUCCAAACAGACCAUAGUGGCAAAAUAACUUACCUAAAGGAUAACAAAGGGGAUAUUUGUGAUAAAUGUGAUAGAUUGGACCAAAAAGUUAGGUUGCAUUCUGAAUUACAUAAAUGUACUGGACUGAAAAGAACUUGACUCUGAGGUCUACAUCAUGGGUUUUAGACCUUCCUCUAACAUGAACUGACUCUCUGGGCCUCUGUUUCCUCUUCCGUGAAAUGAGGAAUUGGGAUGAAAGUUGUAAAGUUCUUCUAAGCCUUUGUUCUCUCUGAGAUGUUCAUUCUGUGCUUGCUUUGUGCAGUGACUAACGGAGGGAGGAGUAUUAGUAGGCAUUGGAUGAGGAUUAGAAUGGGUCUCAUUCAUUGAGUCUCUGGAGAUGAGCAUGGCACUUAAUGCCAAGUAGGGGCCUGUCAACACUUUAUACAGGUUGAGCAUACCUUAUCUGAAAUAUUUAAGAUGAAAUUGUUUUAGAUUUCAGAUUUUCUAAUAUUUGCAUAUACAUAAUGAAAUGUCUUGGGAAUGGGACCCAAAUCUAAACAAGAAAUUUAUUUGUUUCAUAUACGCUUCACGCACAUAGCCUGUAGGUAAUCUUAGGCAAUAUUUUUAAUGCAUCUGCAUUUAACUGUAACUUAUCACAUGUGGUCAGGUGUAGAAUUUUCCCUUUAUUGCAUCAUGUCAUUGGUCAAAACAUUUGGGGAUUUGGGAGCAAUUCAGAUUUGAGAUUUUCAGAUCAGGCAUCCUAACCUGCAAUAAAUUGGUAUUGAUGAAGAAGCACAAGUAAAAUUCCAGUUUGAGAACUAUUAUUCAUAACAGCAAUGAGAAAAAGUAGAGCACUAGAUCACAAAUUGUAGGGGCCACCUGUGGGACCCUGGGAAAAUCAUUGUACUUCUCUCAAUUUCUUUUUCUUCCUUCAUCACUGAAUGGUCUGGGGAAGACUACCCAAGAGGCUCCUUACUAAGAAAAGUCAAUGACCCUAUAAGGAUUUCCAGCCAUGUAAAGCAGAUAAGAAAGUUCAGAUGUUCUACCACCUCUACUGCCCAGGGCAGGGAGAGCAAGUUAUCUAUGAUUUAAUGCUCACUGGGAAGAAUUUCACAAGGUUGUAUGGGGAUGUGCUGAAAAGAGAAGAAGGACAGGGCAGCUGUAUGCUAAAGUUUUGCUGGGAAUUUUAUGCAGAGAAGGAAAUGAGGUCUCCUGAAUUGCCAGUUAUUAAGGUACAAAAGGGAUCAAAUGCUGUGUUUGAAUCAGUUCAAUACCGAGCUCUAAGGUGCACAACCUGCUCUGGCUCUUUCUAUAUCCUGCCCAUAGUGGUGAUGUUUGACAUCUUUCCCUUCAGGCAAUGCCAUCAGAGGAGGUAAUGGAUGGUAACAGCAUAUUUGAGAUGGAAAGAGAAAGAGUUCACAUACUAUUCAAUGGAAAUACUUUAAAGGCAUUUCAAGGAGGAAUCUGAGAAAUAAUUACAAAGUUUGAAAAGAAAGCCUUUAAACUUUGAUCUGACUUUUUUAUGUAAAGCAAUUCGGAACAUAAUUUUUGAAGUGCUAAGCCACAAAUUCAAUGUCUGGACCUGACUGCUUUCAUUUGUGUCUUGGGGCUUCUACUCCUCCAAAAACAAACGUUUAAAAAUUUAAGAUGAUUUUUCCACAGAAAUUAAUGCAUAUAGCAUUAGUUGGUCAGCUCCCAUAAAAAUUACAGCAGCAUAGAAUAGCUGAGAUUAAGGGCUAGAUUUAAAUCAUUCAAGGGCCCAGUUAAUAUCAGUGCCUAAUUAAGAAAUCUGUAACAUUGGUAGAGAAAAACUCUAUCAAGGUGUGAUAGGAAUUUUUCCUUUCAUUUGCUAUUGGGGAUUUUAAUGGGAAUGUAUCCUACAUGGACUUUGAUAGUCACAGGACUAGUUCUCAAAUUAAAAUGGAGUUUCAAAUCUGAGCAUGGGGACAAACUAAUUUAUCUGAAAGGUAAUAAAGGAAGUUCUUACCUAAAAAUAAAUGUCAUAGAGUGCCUUAAUUUUAGAUUACAUUUCUCCUUAAUCUUUUAAACCUGAAAUUCUUUGUGGUUCAUAUGUAUGAGCCUUGCUCCUUGAAGGUAGAUGAUGGGCAUUAUUCCUUCUUUUGCAUGUGCAGUGCCUAGGUUCCCAUUAAAUGUUUAUGAAAUAGCAGAAUAUAAAUAUUUUGUUAGUUUUUAAGAGUUAUUGCUGAGCACGGUGCUCUGUCAUGGCACAUUUUCUCUCCAAUAAGUAGAUGGGUGGGUUGCUUGUGUACCAACUAAGAAGCACUGCAAAGGCAGGUUAUAAACUGAAUUUAGUCAUGCUUGUCCAUCCAUUAAAAAUUGAGAAACUUCAUCUUCAGUUUAAAUUUCUGGAUUCCUUUGAAAUUUCUGAAGUUGUGGCACAGUUUGGUUCAUAGAUCCCCACAAUAGCAAUUGGCUAAGGCCCAGGAGUUGCUAUUCCCAUUAAACAGGGCUCCUUUUCUGCUAGUCACCAUUAAUAAAAUGUGAUUGGUUCCAUGUUGGGUUGCAUGUGGAAGCAGAUAAAUGCACUGAAUCCCCUGCAUAAGAUUCUAGGCUGACUUCGCUUUUUUAUUUUCUAAACUGGCCUGUGGAAUAGGCCCUGCUUUAGUUUGCACCUGGAGCAUCCCACAAAGGUUCACUUGUUAAAGGCUUUAUUGUCAACUUGUGGUGCUAUUGAAAGGUGCUGGAACCUUUAAGGGGUGGGGCCUCGUGGAAGGAAGUUAGGUCACUGGUGGCAUGCCUCAAAGGUGAUAUUGGGACCCCAGUCCUUUCUUUAUCUUUCUUUUGCUUUCCAGGCACCAUGAGGUGAACAAUCCCCCUUCGCUUGUUGAAACCAUGAUGUAUGAUGCUGCCAUGUGGCCCAAAGCAACAGGGCCAAGUGACCAUGUUCCAAAACCUUUGAAACUACCAGCCAAAAUAAAUCUUUCCUCCUUAAAAGCUGAUUUUCUUAGCUAUUUUGUGAUACCAAUGGAAAACUGAGUAACAUAGGCCCUCAAGAUUGGGUUACAGCAUUUGGUAUGCAUUUCUAUUGCUGUUGGACUUGAAUGAGUUAAAGAUCUAAGGGUGAGCUUAAUUGUUUUUUCCCAGCCCCACACACAAAAAAAGAAGGCAAGACUGUAAGUACUGGACUUGGAGCGAAGCUAGUGUGCAUAUUCCUAGUACUUCAAUGUGGCUCCAGUGGGAAUUGAGCAGGAUCCAAGCACUAAAUAACCCUAAUGAUAUCGGGUAGGAGCUCAUCAGGGAGCUGUUCAAGAGUUUGUCAGAGCAUAUUAAAAUACAAUACAUUCACAUAAUCAAAAAAGGUACAUCAGUCCAUCUGUCUAUACAUUCCUUUUGAUAUUAACUUUAUCCAGGGACUUUUCAAAAUUACAUCAUCUACCCAUACCCUCUUCUUUAGUGUAUAAAAAUGUGGACAGAAUGAAAAGAAAAUCAGAAUAAUGUACAUUGGUGUAAGUCCUGUAAUUGAAAUCAUUAUUGCUUAAGACACCGUUGCUUUAAUCAGCUCUAUCAUAAAUCAAUGCUUUGCACUAGUGAAGGUUUAAAAUAAAGUGCUGUUAAACAAAUUGGGCCUCUUAAAAGGCAUGAUGCAAUUGGAAAGACACUGAAAAUGAAUAAAAAAGUGCUUUCUGAAUUGAUACGCUGGUUCUAGCAUUUUAUCUUCCACUUAAUUUAAAAAAAAUAUAUUACCUGGUCCUUUCUUAGAAAUUACAUAUUGGAGGUCUAUAAUGGCCAAGACUUUAACCCAUUAAAAAAAUUUACUCCCAGGAACAGUUAAUAUUUGACAUUUAAUUGCUUUUUCUUGUUGGAGGAAAAAAAAAUAUGUUUCUUUCCUUCCUUUCUCGAUUGACUUUCCAAAAAUCACCUUCUGAGCUAUAAAGAUGGAAAAGAGUAAUUGAUUUCAAAAACUCAAGUGCAUUUAUGUGGGUAUGCAUACACAUGUGUGUGUAUGUAAAUAAUAUCUCCAAAGUAGCAGGAGCUGGUUCUUCCCUCCCAACAACUCUGCAAGGCAAGGUGUUAUGACUGCUGUUUGAUAGCUAUGGUGACAGAGGUCUAGAGAGGCUACAGAGAAAUUCAGACAUGAGAGUCUUUAUUCCAUUACUACUUUGCUGGCUUCUGGGUGUACUUCACACCCUGGCAUAGAGAUGUUUAUGGAGCCAUGACAGAAUGCCAUCUCAAUGGUUCCUAUCUAUCUAUCUUCAGGCAGCUAAUUUUUUUCAGCUUAUAAUGGGAUUUAUCUUAUAAUAUAAUCCCAUCUACAAAUGUUGAUGGGCAACUAUGAUUUGAGCUUUAAUGUGAGUCCUCUAUUUAAUGGAGCUAGGAGAAGCCCUGGAACCACUUUAUAUCUAUAAUAUUGACUUAAAAGAGAUUUAUCAUUGUAGUUUUGUCUGGAUGACCCAAGGAGGUUAGUCCUCUUACCUUUGGAGCAAUGCCUAUACGGACUUCAAACAAAUUUUCUGGCCCCUCCUCAUGACUUGUUUUAAGACAUAGAGGAGAUCAGUUGGAAAUUGGUGUGGAAACAAUGAGGAAAACCAUUUGUUUGGUUUCCUGAAGUUAGAAAAUUUCCAUUUCAACAUCAUUGGCCUCUCCCCUUUCUGGUGCAGCAAAUUCACUACCAAAGGUCAAAGUGUUCUCUUGCAUUCUUUUAUUUUUUUCUCUUCCCACAAAACCAGGUAGUAUUUAGUCUCUUGAAAAGCUGCACAAACCAACUGUUCCUCUACAGAUUAUCCCUUUCAGAGCUCAGGUGAUAUGCCUCAUUGGGUUACACCUCCUGUGACUUGUGGUCAGAUGGGGCUGUGUCAUUCUGCAUUAUUCUAUCUUGCAGGAAAAUAUUUACAUGUUGGCUCCACCAGGUCCCAUUUCCCCUGGGAAUGAUUUUGCAUGCACCAUCUUCACACUGGUGGUUGAAGUUGAAUCACUUGCCUUCAUGGGACCAAUGGGCAUCUGGCAGAAAACCAGAAAGUCAAUCUCCCCCUCACUCAGCUGGAAAACAAGUUUACAACUGUAGGAUAACAUGUUUCUGAGAUAUGGAGUGAAAAUACUCUGAGAAGGCUCUUGGAAGGAAACUGAAUAGGGAAUGGAAAUUUGCACUAUUCACAACCCCCCCUCCCCCACCGCCAUUAUAGAAACAGAAAAGCUUAAGUAUGCCUUUUAAACAUAUUUUCCCUUCCUUUUUUCUUUGUCUUGUCUAUUUCGUAAAAUUAUAAUUAAAAUGAAUAAUAAUUCUCAUUUUUCACAAGGAGUGGUGAAAUGGACACUCUUAUACUUCUGUGAUAGGGUAUACUGGGAAAAUUCUUUUGGAAACUCAUUCAUAGUGUUUAUCAGGAGAGUCAUGAAACAUUCAUGAGAACAAUUAUGGCUUAGAUGUGAGGUGUCCCCAUGAAGCUUAUGCAUAAGACUAUGCAAGAAAGUUUAGAAAUGAAAUGAAUGAGUUAUAACAGCUUUAACCUAAUUGGUGCAUGAAUCCACUGAUAAGGAUUAACAGGGCAGUAACUGUAGGCAGGUGGGGAGUAGCUGGAGGAAGUGGGUCAGUGAACAUGUGGCUUUGGGUUUACAUUUUGUCCCUGGUAAGCAGAGCUUUCUCUGCUUCCUGGUGCCAUAUGCCUAUCUUUUUUUUUUUUUUUCCUCCACUGUACUUUUCUGCCAUGAUGUUCUGCAUAAUACUGGGCCCUGAGCUAUGAAGUUAGCUAUCUAUGGACGGAAACCUCUGAAACCACGAGCACCAAAUAAACUUUUUCUUCUCAAAUUGUUCUUGUUAGGUGUUUUGGUCACAGUGACAAAAAAGCUGACUAAAACAAGAAUGAUGUAAUAAUAAGGAAACAGGAAAUGCACGGCGAAUGCUUAAACAUAUAUAUCAAAAUGUGCAUCAUCAUCAUAAUAGAAAACAUUUAUGUUCUUAACAUGUGACAGGCUCUGAGCCAAAUGCUUUUAGGCAUUGUCUUUAGGUUUAAUCUGUACAUGGGUUUUGUGUUGUAGGUAUUAUUAUACUUCUAUUUUACAAAUGACAAAAGAGAGAUGUAGGGGGGUUAAUUGGUUUACCUGAAGUCACCUUGCUAGUGUGAAACUUCAACCUCAUCCCAACUAUAGGGUUUUCACUUUUAAAAUAACUUGGAAUUCCUUAUUCUAUGUGGUUAAUUUUAAGGGAAAAAACAUUAAUAACAAAAAUGUAAGCUAUAUUCUAUAAAAACCACAUGAAAAGUAAACAGGAAAUCUUAGACCACAAGGAAAUAGCUUAAUUUGUAAAAGCUCGUCUGUAACCAGUUAAUAAAAUGAUUUGUUGCUAUCUGAAGCAAAUUAAAUGUUUCAGGUCUUUCCUCUGGAUGAGAGUCAUAUACUAUAGGAAUGGUUGUUAGCUAAGAGAAUCUAAUUGUUAUUCUGCCAAUUUAAAAAAGGUCCAAAGAACAAAUCUUGCAUGUAGGUCCAAAUGACUUUGAAAGGAUUUCAUUCAGAUUCAUUUGGGAAUUUCCUUUUGGAAUGGGACCUAGACCAAGAUUUCUUAGCUUAUUUUGUAUGAGAAUGUAUCUGAAAAUAUUAAUAGAAUCUGUGGGGUUUUUUUCCUGUUCAGAAAAACCUCUAUAUUAACACAUCUUGAUGGAUAUAUGUUGACUUUCAUUCAAGGAUCUUAGAAUUUUUUUAGAUUGGUGGCUGGCUUGAGGGAUUAAAUUAAAAUUUCCCUUUCUGUCUUGGCUUGCAGACUGUUUUUCAUAAUACAGUUUGGUGGAUGUUCUUUUUCUAAUAAGUCAAGCAUGCACACUUUCUUCAGAAUAUUGUCAAUACUUGGACGACUAAAGAUUAUAAAUUAAGUGACUAUAAUGAAUAAUUUAGUUUCAACAUUUUCAUUAAUAUGAUAUAAUGUUAUUAUAGAACUUGUGUCCAGAUACUUGGCUAAAAACUGCCUCUUUUUUUUUUUUGUUAUCCUAUUUAGGGUUAAAAAAAUGUAUGGCAUACAUUACCAAGAAUCAAAGAUUGUGCCUGGCAGCAUAAUUGACUUUGUGACAGAGAGAAGCUGAGCAAGGUGAGUAGACAGAAUUAUGAAUAGCAGUUUUUCUUAGCACAGCUGUAGAGAUAUAUAUUUUGAUAAACACAUAUGUAUUAAGUGGAUAUGCAUAAGGCAAAGAGUUAGAUGAACUCAGAAAAUGGGUGGGUUUUUGCUUUUGCAUUAUAUGCAGUGCUCAGAGAGCCUUCAAGUACCGUUGGCUGUGCUACUAAUAAGAUUAUAGCCAGAGCAUGCUUUCAUUCCAUGAAAUAUUUUCAUCGACUAGAAGAGGGAAAUUAUUUUUACCCUUUCUGAAAUCGAAAAUUUCUCAGGUUCUGUUCAGGAUUGUUCAAGAAGGAGUCAGAAAUAUCAUGUUUAGAGGUCACUGAGCCAUCUACCCUAGGAACUUCCCCUCGGCAGUGGUCUCUCUCUAUGUUACAGAAGACAGCAAAAAUAUAAGUCAUCAUACAUCUGACCAAUUAUACAAUGCUGUAUCAACAGGGGGAAAUUCCUUCCUCACUUCAGCUGGUGAACAGUUAUGCCCUGGAGCUCAGGACGGACAUGCCUUGUAACUUUUUAACCUAGUUAGUGUAACUGCCAAUAUUAUUCCUAUUCAUAUAAAUGUCUAAUCCUUUUUUGAAUCUUGCUAGACUAUUUGCCUCAAUAAUAUCCCGCGGCAGUGAAUUCCACAGGUAGAUUAUACGCUGCUUUAAAAAGUAUUUCCUUUUAUUCAUUUUAAAUUUCUUGCCUUUUAACGUCACAAAAUGGCCCUUGCUCUUGCAUUAAGUGGCAGGGGAUAAAAGCAUGUCAAAUUAAGCUUUAAUUCUCCCAAGCACUCUCUUUGCUAUUAUUAAAACCUUAUCUUCUAUAUAUACUUUCUAUUUUAGCAACUGUAAUCUUGAUUAAAUGAGAUGAUUUAAGUUAGUGGUUUUCCACUACUUUGGACACAUCAUGGGUGCCAGAAAAGAACCCUUAUUAAUAUUCAAUGUCAUUUAUUGGGCAAAUAUUUACUGUGCACCUACUUUUGAAGGAAGUGUUUUAAUUUUGGAGAGAUGGCCUUGAGUAAGACUUAUUUAGAAGGACCUAAUUUUCUAGAGAAGGAGACACACAGUAAAAUACUGAAUAAGUAUUUGGAAUGCCUGGUUUGGGAUGAUAUUAAGUACAAUCAGCCCUCCAUAUCCAUGGAUUCUGCAUUCUCAGCCUCAGCCAGAAUUUAUUUCUUGUCAUUAUUAUCUAAAUAAUACAAUGUAAUAACUAUUUACGUAGCAUUUACAUCGUAUUGGUUUUUCUAUAGAGGUUUAUAGCUCAGAUGCAAAUUAUAGACCAUUUUACAUAAGGGACUUGAGCAUGCUCAAAUUUUGAUUUCCAUGGGGUUUCUGGAACCAACCCCACAUGGACACUAAAGGAAAACUAUAUUGUGGGAAAAAUUUAAAAGUUCCUGGGAAAGGAUGUCAGGGGCCACAUUAGUUUACACCGUCAGAGGUUGACUUUCUGAAAAAGGGAUAGUUGAGACUGGCCACCAGUGAGUCAUUUAUGUGAAAUAUCCAUGAAGGUGAGCUCCAGGUUCCAGGGCAAUGCCCAGUAGUUGAGGUUCAAUCAUUUGUUGAGGCCUGGAUGAGUCAAGUUUGAGAAGGAAAAUCUUAGUUUCAGAAACUAUCCAGUCAGUGCUCAACCAAUCCAGGAGGAGUGUACCUUGUACUGCUGUUUUAACUCCAAAGAUUAUCAGAGUAGAAAAAGCAAGGGAUAUAGUUAGUAAGCCUCUUGUUUUAAGAUCCAAUCAUGUUCCCUGGGAACCAGCUGUUUGACCUUGGGUCAAUCACCUAAUUGCUCUCAUGCAAAGUAUUCUUUACAAAAAUGGGCAUAUAACUUCUUUUCCUCAUGGGGAUUGGAGGAGUGGAGGUAAGAUUAUGUGGAAGCUCUUUAUAAGCUGCAAAGGGUGUGAAGAUAUUGGUUCUUUUUGCAGGAUUCGGGUUUUGCCAGCACUCUGUACUUGGGUCUCUCAUUCUUUUUUUCCUUCCAUCCUUGUUUUCCGAGUACCCUGACACAUCCCUUGCCUCUGCUCAAAGUCCACCAGUGGCAUCCAUGGUACUUAGCUUUCUCUCCCAGAGGUGGGUUAAACAGGGUAGAUUUUCCUAAGGGCUUUAAAAAUGGAAUCAGAUGGAGAAGUCACUUGUUGAUACUGUGGGAUGGAUAUGGAUUUAAAAUAAUGAUUCCUUUUUGUUUUUGCUUUUGUGUGUUCUUAUUUAUUGCUCUGUCUUCUGGGGCCCAGUCAACAAAACUUCUCUGUACGAAGACAGAGUCCCUGCCUGAAGUUUGAAGAGAGUCUUCCCCAAAUCAACACUGGUUAACAUAAUCUCAUUCCCUGUGUUCAACUUCCCUCUCUGCUCCAGAAUGGUGGAUACACACCAUUUCUCACAUUGCCUCUUGAAGUUAUUCUUUUUAAUUGCCCCUUUCUUUCUUUUUUUUUUUUUCCUGUUUAGCCAAUUUAAAAUAGAGGCAUGUGCAGCUCUGCAUAAUAAUGUGUUAUAAAGGCAUUUUAAGGAAUAAAUUAUUAGGAUUGUUUACAUGCAUGGUUCAAAUUUACUGGCAAAUUGCUUAGGACUCGGUUUUAUGAUGUAGCUGCCAGUUAGGCUCCUUCUGAAUAAGACUCUGAAAUAGGAGAAGUCGCCCUUUGCUGUCCCUCACCGGCACUUCCUCUGCCUUGUUCCUGCCCUUUCAACACCUCCCUCCUCUUCCACCCGCAAAUAACUCUGUGGAGCUGUCAGGCUUUUUGCACCUUAAUGUGAAGACACUUUGUGGGUCCUCCCCAGACCUGCCCCCAACAAAGGUGAGGUGUGCAAAGGAAUAAAUCUUCAAUGGUAUAAUUUUAGAUGCUGUGGCAACUGGGAAGGGCAGCUAUUUUUGGCUGUUGGGCUUUCUCCUUGACCUGAGAUGAUACCGCUUUGCCUGCUGCAGCGUGGCCAGCCAACCCUGCUUGUGGUCCUUUUAGUGACAUGUCUGCCGUUCCUGGGAGUGGCUUCUUUCUUUCCUCACUGAGCAUUUCUCUGCUCAUUUGGAGUUCUGUGUCUUUGUGCAAGGGCAUGCAUCUAUUGACAUGUACCCAUGUUGGCUUGUCACAGGCUGAUACUCCAAGGUGGUGAUCCAACAUCUCUGGAUGCAAAGUCAGAGGGAACUGACUCCCUUCCACAUAGGAGGUGGAGAAAAAUUGCUGGUCCAGUUUCUGUGUAUCCCUCAGCCUCCAUGCUUUAUCAGCUGCUCAGGGACGGUUGAGUGAGUCACUGCUUCUCUGAGCCAGGCAGGUCUCCAGGCCACAGUGUCCGAGCCUUCCCACCUAGUCUGCCUCACUGAAAGUUGUGUGCUCACAGCGGCUCUUCUGACCACCCUGCUUGUUCUCUUCCCACUCAAGCUCCUGAUGCAGCUGCUGACUGCAGACCCCCUGUACUGCCUGGGGAAGGGAGUCCGACCCUCCUGUAGCAGAUGGGCGGAAUAGCUACAAGAAGAUUUGAAGGGGGCCAAAACUAACAGUGCUUCCAGAUGAGGGUGAUAUUAGAGCCAAGAUCAUCACUGGGGCAGGGUAUCUUGUUCUUAGUUUUACAACCCAAAAAAGUACACAGAAGAUUCAAAGAUCAUUUGGGAAGGAGGAAUAAAAUCAGGGGAAAAAAACAAAAAACGACAACAGGAAAAUGGGACCAGUUUGAAAAAAAAAAAAAAAGAAUUGAAUUUCUUUAUUCCCAAAGACAGAAAACAGAGACCUUUUUUUUGGUAUGGAGAGAGCACUGGAUCUCUGAAUGGUAGUUCUCUUCUCCAUUUCCCCUAGCUAACAAAGGAGAGAAUUCUAGAUUUGGAGAGAAAAAGGGGCAAAGGAUGAGAGCAAGAAAGGGUGGGGGAGAGGGAAUGAGAGUAUAAGGAGAAUCUGACCAAGGAACAGAAAAUAAGGGAGGAUGUAACAAAAAGGAAGAAAACGAUCAAGAAAAUGUUGUCUUUCCUUAUCUGCUACAGAAAUAAAUUUAGUAGAAAUUUAUUUGGAACCAACCAUGUCUGGUUCUCUUAUCUUUCUGCAGUGCUGAUCAGCCUAAAAUUUAUUAAAAUUGCUGAAAACCAUAGCAAUCAAUUUGUACUGAUUCAGAGUGUUGACUGGGAUCAGCUGGGUGGCUCUCAGGCAGUCUAUGGGGUCUGAUGGUGGCUGAGACUGGAGCCAUCUCUAAGGCUUCCUCCCUCUGUGUCCUGUGGUUGAUAUUGGUCCUUCCUGUGACCUCAGAUGGACAGCUGCAUGAAGUCAUUGCACGUGGUCUGAGCCUCCUCACAGCAUCUCAUGCUAGCCCUUCUUACAUGGCUGCUCAGGGGUCCAAUGAUGAGUGUUCCAAGAAAACAAGGUAUGAGCUGAAUCUUCCUUUCCAGUCAUACGUUCUAUGGUCCUCCAGUUACUGAAGUAUGCUCAGACUCCUAGGUAGGGUACCAGGAUGCCUUCUCUGGAUUUAAGGAGUGUUAAAGAACCUGUGGAUCUGACUUAAAACUGCGAAAAUGUCCAAUCACAGUGUCAGAUGCUUCCAACAUCUAACUUCCAGCCGUUUCUGUCUAGUUGGAGCUGUAAAAUUCCACCAAAGAUCCAGUGGAAAGUAUUGAAGUAUCCAUUUGCCAGGGGAGGGAGGUGAUAGAAGAGCGAAUACCAAGCAGGGCUCAAGAUGAACACUGCAUGCUCAGAGAUCACAGGCAGAGUGGGUAGGAAGACGGGUGGUCACUUAUCACUGGAGAGCACUGAAGGCCAGCAGGAUACAGUGACACAGUGGCCAACAUCCUCUAACUCUGAAGCGGGGUGUUGCCAGUUUUAUUCACUCCUAUGUGUUUGUUCUCCAUAACUUACCUGCUCAUUACCUCUUUCCUUCUGCCUCACCUGGCUCCUACCAACUGUUCUUUCUUUUCACUGAAAUAUUCUGUUACGGUCUGAAAACUCUUCUGCAUCCUUCAUACCCCUGGGUCAUGACUUUAUCCUUUGGGCCAUAAAGUCCCAUCCCCUUCCCUACUUUUUUGCUGCUCCAUUACCAUCUUUCAGAUCACUGAACUUCUCUCUGCUUUUCUUGUCCAUUCCUCAGUUGAUUACCUGAAACAGGCCUUUUUAUUUUGUUUUCCUCCUUUUUGGCCACUGUCUCCUGCCUUUUAAAUCAUAUCCUGUAUUUGACAUCUCAUGCCUUUCUUCCCUGCUCUGAUCUAUCUUAUUAUAGGAGCCUGUUGCCCAGCACAGAAUCACAGGACGUCGGAUCCAGGUGCACAGAAUACCCGGCACCUCCGCCAGAGACACACAGCCGUCUUCCUGGGGUUGUGGAAGGGGGGCAGUUGUGGCUUGCACCGGGCCAAGGAUUUUCAGGUGAGAUUUGCUGUCCCAUUUCUCACCUUGCUUUGGUAAGCAUUUCCUACAUUCCAUCAACACUAAAAUUACUUUUCUCUUCAUCUGGGCUUUGAAUAUCC